GCAGGCCACUGCCUACGAUCCUAGCCCUCUUCAAGACUUCUGCAUCGCCGACAUGAAGGCGCCUGGUAUGCACUACGUAUAGUGUGCACGUAUAGAUGUGUGCCCUUAAUUCUAGUGGUGGUAUAGUUAAUGUUGUGAUAGCCUAGUAUUGAUCACACACUGAAGUUUACUACAUACUGAUAACAGUUUUUCUUUUGCGGGGUACAUACUGAUCAUAGUUCUAAAAGUAUUAUUACUGCAUGCUCAAGCCACCCACACAUUUCUUACUUGCUUUAUGUUACUUUCUCUAUGCAUGCAGUGCGAGUCAAUGGAUUUGCUUGCAAGGACCCAAUGGCCGCAACCCCGGAAGACUUCUUCAACGCAGCCAUGCUCGAUCAGCCUAGGGAUACCAAGGCCAGCAAGGUCAGGUCCAACGUCACCAACAUCAAUGUCAUCAAUUUUCCUGGCCUCAACACCCUCGGCAUCUCCCUGGCACGCAUCGACUAUGGGCCAUUAGGUGUCAACACGCCGCACAUACACCCCCGUGCCACCGAGCUCCUCACGGUGCUUGAGGGGACACUCUACCUUGGAUUUGUCACAUCCAACCCAAACAGGCUCUUCUCCAAGAUAGUUAAGAAGGGUGAUGUAUUCGUAUUCCCAAAAGCAAUGAUUCACUUCCAAAUGAACCUGGCGCAUGACAAGCCAGCAGCCGCCUUGUCCUCGCUCAGCAGCCAAAACCCUGGGGUUAUUUCUAUCGCCAAUGCAGUCUUUGGAUCAAAGCCACCAAUUUCAGAUGAUGUUCUAGCCACGGCGUUUCAGGUGGAGAAGGAUCUGAUUCACUGGCUUCAAUCUCAGUUCUGGGAGAAUAACAACUACUAGAUACUCUCUUUCAUCUGGGCAUAUGGAAAGUUCAUAUGUAAUGCUAGUAUAUAGAAUAAAUGGCAUGUAGUAAUACGUAUGCAUGCAUGGUUGUGAGCUGUGAAUUUUCAUUUUCCUUUUGAAGCGUGACAUGAUAUGUUUCUUGUCGGAUUCAUGUCAGAAUGUGUUGGUGAUGAUUGUUUUCACUGUUUAAUGAAUGGAAUACAGAGGUGCUCCUUUGCCUUGUUGCUGAUAUAGAGAGAUCCGUGAUGUUAAUGACAAAGCAGCAAUGAUUGGACAUGCAUGUUAUUUCUAGACCCAGUUUACAUGUACUUAAAACUUGUUUUUGCCCGACAAGGUGAUUUGUUCACUGGAAACCAGGAAACGCAAACUUGUUCUGUGGCGAGAAAUCAUUUAGCAUGCUGGAAACUUAGAUGCCAUCGUUUAGCGGAUUAAGCAUCAUAGAUGGAAGAGCAGGGAUAUAGUUGUUAUGAUGUAGUUGCUCGCUAUCAAGUAUCUGCAUUCCCAAUAAUGGUUACAAGUAAACAAAAAAGAUGGGGCACAUGAUCGUAUUGGUUUCGCACCAAGAUUGGGCUAUACACCUAUUUAUAAUAUGGAGCGUCAUGGCAUGUGGAUUAUUAGUCCAGAUCUAUCUACAGAAUGGGUUUGGAUUAUUAGUCCAGACCUAUCUACAGCCUACAGGGCAACUCAAUUGGCAGUCUAUUCAGAAUCAUAUUCUUUCAAAGUUGUAAAUGCAUGCGCAGACACAAACUCUUGAUGGACAGAAGUUGCGGCAAUCUACGCGGGUUGUGUGGAUCUAUUAGUGGAGAUAUGGAGCGUUCAUUUUAAGCAUUGUGUGGAUCUAAUUGUGGAGAUACAGAGCGUUUUACAUGAAGCAAACUGUGCCGCUCAUGAGAUUGCUAGAUACAAUGGUUGUUUUUUUAGAAAUGCUAGAUAUAGUUUUGAAAGUAAGCUCUCUUGUAAGUGGGUCGAUGAAACCCCAUAUUUUAUCCUUAAUUCUCUUGUAAACAAUGUACGUGUUAUUUGAAAUCAAUAAAGUAAGCCAUGAUGGCGUCCGCUAUAGUUAGUCUUUUCAGAAGACCCUCUGAGAAGCCUCUUUAUAUAGGUGGCAAGGGGCCCCAUUAUACACAAAAAAUAUCAUUGAUCAAUAAAGUUGAGGAGUCUUCAGCUACAUUUUUGUGCUUCUUUUGUGCUUAUAUUUGGCGUAGUAACAUGAUCAUUACAUUAAAUUAUCGGUAUUACAGUACUUGGUAGUCACGUACACUCCCACACACUUGAUUGGAUUUUAUUUGGGAAUAAUCGCUUUGGUUUUUAUCUUGAUCUAUUGACACCGUUAUCAAAACAAUUGUUAUUGAUGAUCCUAAGAAAUAAAAACAAAGCAACAUGCAUUGAAGGGGUUAUUUCCACACAUGAGUUCACGUGACAAUAAUCUUUGAAUUAAUAAAUACGACAUACUUUGUACUGGGAAAGCAUUGUCGGUCCGUCAUCAAGAAUUGACCAUACUACUUAGUUCAGUCACGAAAGAGACCCGUAAUAAGUUAAUAAUAAUUGAGGAAAUCCAUUUCAUGCACCAACGCAAGUACGUGGAUCAAACACGUCUCCAUCAUUUGACCCGUCGCCAUUUUUUCUGUUAGUGGUUACUUGCACGCAAAUAAAUGCAGUUGUAGACUUGUAGUGUCGUACCGACAUCUGUUAGGUGGAUGCCAAACCAUAUUUAUAUGUUCUGAUGAGAAAAUUCUUACAACACAUACAUGUAGAGGAGAUGGUACAACCGUACAAACAUGCCAAAUUUCAGGGUCAAAACCUUAUGUUGAUCUCGUAAUCCGAGGUCAACACGCCAACACAUGAGUUGAUAGCUUCUUGCCCUGUGAGAGGUUGAUCCAAUCCAACAUGGAUAACGGAUUAUGCGGCACACGAUGAGGAAUUGAAAAUGAAAUGUUGACGACUGUUUAGUGUGUGGACAUUCAUAGUUCAUGUCAUCAUUUUUUUUAUUUUGCAGGGAAAAACUGAUUGCAUUAAGUAAACAUAGUACUCCCUUCCUACCAUCAUCUUAUAUUGUGCAACACAAUCAAGGUGGAGAGGAAAACGAGAGAAGAUAAUGUUCAUUUUGUUAAUCAAUAUUAUUACAUGCAAUGAACUCAUUACUGCAAGCCGUGUUAGGUAGUCUAAAGUCAUUAAACAUAUACAUGUUCCAUGUCUCUAAGUGGAAAUUAAUGCACCACGCUUAAGUGUUUUCGAAUUAUUUGGUUAUGCGGCACACGAUGCAGGAUUGAAAAUGAAAUGUUGACGAUAGCUUAGUGUGUGGACAUUCAUAGUUCACGCCAUCAUUUUUUUUGCGUGGAAAAACUGGUUGCAUUAAUUAAACACAGUAUUACAAUCAUUCUUUAUAACGCUAACCUUCCUAGUUUUGAAUAGUCCACAUUCAAUUCAGGUCUUCAAUUAGAAUUGGAUCACCUGAUUUUGACUAAGUCAAUAAUUUCUUAAAGCUCUUCCGUUCAAUUCUUUUAUACUAUACAAUGUGUUUCCUAAUUUUUAAAGUUGCACAAUUAAUUCAGGUAUUCAAUUUAGAAUUGGGCCAUCCGGUUUAGACCAGGUCAACAAUUUCUCAGGCUCUCUCAUUCAAUUCUUUUAGCUCACUAUCUUCCCUAAUUCUCUCAAGUUCAGAGCAUAUAUAUCAACAUCCCAAUGCUAAACAAAAAAGGUAUAGAAAUUCAUUUCACGAUGAAUCUAAAAAUAUUGAUUUGAUAUAUUUCUCUAUAAAUUUGAUCAAACAUAAAAGGGUUACAUAUUUGAAAAAGCAAUAGACCUUGUAUUUGGAAACAAAGUGAUUGUUUGUUAAAGAAAUUCGACAACACACCAACGGUGUAGCAAAGCGUGCCAAACCCUUCUAGUCUUGGAUGAAAUCACAAACUUUCGAAGGAAAAUUCCCUAGCCAACCAGUGGUGCGCUGCUUAUCCUAUUUGGCUCACCGUGUCCUAGGCAGUGCAAGGAGAGGUGAAACCGUGAAAGAGGUGUUACAUGUUACCCAAACAACUUUGAAGCUAAAUAUCUCGGGCUCUCGGUGCCGGAUGAGAGAGGAAUAAAUGAAAGUUCAAAAGCUUACACGAGAGACUAGCAAAGCGCCUGCUUCAAUGCAGGUGAAAUUUACCUUUCUCGAGAUGGGAAGGAGAUCAUGUUAAAGGCCGUCGUUGUGCAGGCACUACGAGUGUACGUGAUGGGUGUUUUCAAACUCCUAAUCGGGCUUUGUCAUGACCAAACAAAGAUGAUGACACACUAAUGGUGAUGUGCGGACAAUGAAAAAUGGCGGUCUCAUGGGAUCUCUUGUGACAUUAUGCACGGGUCAAAGGUGAUGGGAGGAGUGGGGUUCAAGAGUCAGCGGCUCCUUAAUCAAGCAUUGAAAACGGGGCUAGCAUACGGGCAUGGCAUGACCCCUGGAUCCCUUGCGGUGCAUCAUACAGAUCGAUUACCACACAACAUAAUUUUCAUCUGUGUUGGGUCAUGGAUUUCCAGAUGGUUGAUGAUUCAUGCAUGCCUUCAUGGAAUACUCAACUCAUAUAGUAACACUUCUUCAUUGUGGAUGUUGCAAAGAUUUUGAAUAUCAAACCAUUGAGGCGCCUUGAGGAAGACUUCAGGCCGAGUGAUUGCAGCCAUCAUGGGAGGGCAUCAUUCGGUGCUUCAAGUACAUCGGUGUGGUCGUGACAAGCGCCAUCCUGGGGUAAAUCACAAGUUCUACAAUGGCGGCUUCCCUCUCAUCUGAAGCACGCUUCUUUGGAGUGCUACUUGGGCCUCAACCUCAACCCCAUGUACAAGCACAGCGACGUAGGAUAUAGGAUACCUAAACGUUCAUUUUUUUUGAAACUGGCGGAACACCAUAUUCGUAGAUCAUCGAUUUAAUGACUUCAGCUCGAGGUUUUGAAUCAACUAUCGGAGCCGAUUUCAUCUCUUGAGUACAGUAUACUUUUGAAACAACCUUCUCACUUGUCAAUUACUCGUGUGGAGAUUUGGCGAGUUUCCGUUGUGAGGCCUUGGAGACCCUUCGAGCAUGACCAUAUGCAUGUGCCAUCGACGGUUACUGCUUACAGUUACAGGUGACGAUAUCAUGGUCGCAUCAACGGUAAUGAUAUGAGGUUGUCGUCGUCUCAAAUGUCCUAAAUUGUUUGGUAUAUUCUUGUCUUCUUAGCUGUUCUAUAGUCUCUUGCAUCCUUGGCGCUUUUAUUUUUCAGUUUUUUUAUUUUUAGUUUUGUAUUAAUGGAUGUAAUGUUUGGUUGUGGCUUUAUAUAUAAAGCCUUUAAUAAAAUAGCUUACAUGCGCCUCAGAAACAGGAAGCGAGCUAAGAAAAAGAAAUAGGACACGUUUGCUUACCCGCCUCAUCGAGGCCCGCACAGGAAGAAAAAGGAUCGUUUGGUUACCCUCAUUGACUGUUUGGCCUGCACAGUACGAACAUUAAAGCACCUUUGUUGAGUCAGGCCCAAGCGAUGCAACCCUAGGCACGUGGGCGUGGGCGGUUGCACGCAUGGAUGCAGCCUCGAGACGUCGCGUUAUUUCCCCAAUCGACGUCAUAAAUUACCCUCACCUCCCUUCGGGGGGGGGGCCCUCUUCCCCACUCACAUCAGCGAUGGCGAUCACCGGAGCGACAACACGAGGAUCUACGAUAGCAGCGACCAUCGCAGCGACUUCAGACCUCCGCCACAGCGCAUCGGCCAUGGCGGUAAGUCCUUUUCCCUAUCUACAUUGGCCAUGACUCGGGCUAGAUCUAUUUUGAGCACGGGAUUGGAGAAUUAGGGAGGGGAUUGAACACAUGGAGAUUGGGGAAUUGGAUUCAACACCGCCCUCAUCUUCAGUUCUUGGCUAAUCGAUCGAUUACAUCGGGGGUGGAGAUUGGGGUACUACCUAAUUUUCUAGCCACGAUGACCCUGGAGUCGCGUCGAGCGGUGGUGGGCGUAGGCUUCUUCUUUUCUUCGUCACCAUCGCAUUAUUCCUGACCGUCACAUCAAGAACGAUGGGUCUUGCACGGUCGCCUUCCGUCGACGCCUUGACCAUCAUUUGCACCUCGUUUUCUUCCACUGCUUGCGCCCUCGCCACCAUCUGCACAUCGCCGUCUUCCUCUGCUGGAUCCACCAAAGUCCUUGUCUUCCAGUACACCACAACACGGUGGUCAUCGGGACUAUCAUGAGGAAUAACUACGGGCACUACCAUGAGGAGGAUGGACCAAACCACUUCUGCAAGGUGAUAUUUGCUCUGAAGCUGGAGGCUCUGUCUUUGCAUCUCGACUUCAUGAAGCACUUCCCCGCUAUGUUUAGUCCUAAGACGAACACCAGCUGCUCAUGGAGUGUCACGGUGAAGGUGGUCGACAACGGGGUCACCCUUGAUCAGGGUUGCUCCACCUUCACCAGUGUUCACCACGUCGGGAUCGGGUACAAGCUGACUUUCAAGCUGCUCACCCCUAACACCAUGAAGGUGAUGCAGCGUGGACGUGGUCACCAAGUGCAAGAAACAUGACGAGGCCUUCACCGUGACCGCGUAAAUGACCUCUUGUUCCUAGUUCCGUGUUGUGGGUUGUUCUUUUAAGAGUACUAUGUGUUACGAUGUCGUUUAGAACUUAUCAUACUAUGUUUAAAAUUUUUGUUUGGUUAAACUUUGAUUUGUGCUUAAGUUUGUUUCGGUUGCUUUAUUUUUUUGCAUCUGAUAACCUCACCACAUUGAGGAGGAGGUUAGCACACUAUUGUACUAGAUGUAACCAAACAAUUCAACAUGUGUUUGACCUCAAACCAAGCCACAACCAAACAACAUGCCUUCUGUUUCGACAUAUGCAGGCUACACGGAAUGCAUGCAACCAAUCAACAUGCAGAUGUUGAUUUUUUUGCAUGCAUAUGCUCGACCAGGCCCAACUGGGGCAAGUAUGCAAAUGGCAAAAAAACGAUGCACGUAACCAAACGCGCCCAAAGUGAUCUCUCAAUCACAUCUUGUUUAUUUCAGAUCAAAACUGUCUCUUUCCAUUAGAUGAAGUGCUAUAUAUAGCAUUGGAGCAAGCGUUUACAAGGGGGCGCCAUUUCAGACAGAACCGACGCAAUGGUUGCGUAAAGCAUGUGCCAAUGAUUAUAACAAGUAGGGGUUAAUCCCUUAAUUGCUAUAUUAAUUAAUCUUAGCACUCCCCCUAAUCCAUGCUUGUCCAGGUAGCAUCAUCAUCUCGAAAGAGUCUCCUUUAAAAACCCUAUGGAAAAAAUAUGAGGAGUAUAUUAUUUGAUAAGUUGCCAACACUCCUUCAAACCCAGUGGAAAAAAUAAGGAGAAAAUGAUGCAACAUGUCAUCAUUAUUGUCUCUUUUAACUCAAUAUGAGAAAAUUGUAGAAUUUUGAGGAAAAUAAAUAUGGCGUAUAUACUUUAUUAAAACCCGAGUGGGGAAAACACAAAAUAUGACAUCUGGUCUUGUGUUGAUAUUACCUCAUUAAAAACCUUUACGAGAACCUAUAUAGUAAACUCAUGAAGGGAAAAAGAGUAUAAUAUGAUGCAUUGAACAGGAACAAUUCAGGAAGAUACUCCCCCUGAUUCUUGCAAACUUCGAAGCCGUGACAUACCAAUUCCAUGAACAUAUUUCUGGAAUGUAAAAAUUGGUAGAGACUUCGUGAGAAAAUCAGUCACAUGAUGUAAUUUACAAGAUAUGCAAGCGAUAUUGCUUACGUAACCUGUUUGCAUCCGGGCAACACAAGAAAUAUUAUAUUUGAGAUAAUAGUUAGUGGAUGUAGCCAUUAAGGUCGGUUGCAAAAAAUGUUAUGCAAUGACUAUCACACCUAGUAGGAACACUAAGCUUGCCUAUGAUAUGACAUAGUAGGGAUCUGAUCAAUGUAUCCAAUGGUAUUGGUGUUCAGAUUUAUCUGAAACUGAAAAACCAGGACAAGAUGUUUGAUACCUUUGGAGAUAUCAAUAGAUAUUCUUGAGUCCCAACAAAUUGUGUUUGGUGGAUCCAAUGGCAUUAUGAAACGUUGAGUCCCAAUAUCUGAUUUUCAUCAUCUCUUGGUUUAAAUAGAUCAUUCUCUGCGUCUAGAGAAUGAAUUACCAUGAGAGUUAUGGAUGGAUAAGAUUUGUCCACAAUGAAUUUCUCCAAUAUAUUUUGGAUAUAGACAACAUAGUAUACCAUAACGUAUGAAUGAAGGUGCUCAAGUUAUAGUAACGAGCGGUAUUUUGGUUUACCCAAAUCCUUAAUUUUAAUCUCCGUCAUUUAGAUGAUUACAUGUGUCGUCAGUACAAAGACACAAACAUGGAUAAUCAUCAUUGUAGGAGUAAUCCUUGUGUAUAAGGAACUCAUUACAUUAGUUGUACCGACAACAAUAAGUAGUAUGGUGACUUACUGAAUUUUACACAAUGUAUGUUACAUUUUGUACUUCAAUAGAAUUGAGAUUACAUCGGAAAUAUAUCAUAUAUGUCUGAAUCUAGUGAGCCACAUGGAUAUGUGAUCACUACAUCUAUCAACCGCAUAGAUAAAUGAUCUUAUAUUCUCAAUGAUACAAGUUGUCGGAAAGAAGUUCCACCUCUAGAGAAUAGUUGGGUAUCUGCAUGAACCCUUAUGCUACAAUACUUGCUCUAUGUUUCACAACCUUGUUGUUCUCAAUUCUGUUUCCAGAAGAAAACUGGUGUAGGUAUUGCUUAUGAAUACCUUCCCUUUAUUGAGCAAGAUUAUUUCUACCUAGAUUAUACCAUUUUCUUGAGUUCAGUUUGAGUGUUGUUCACACUUUGCCAUGCCCAUAGUCUUGGAUCUGAAUCAUUUGAAAGGUUUUUGAAAUCUAGUUGAGAAAUGUAUAUCGACAAUUGUAGACUUCUGGUUAUAUGUUUCUCUAGAAUCUAUAUAUCAAUAUAUAGUUGAUGGAAAUAUCGUUACCCAUGGUGACUGCUCGCGAUUUCCCGGUGCGAAUGAGUCGUGUAUUCCGAUGUCCCAGUCAUUAUGUGCAGUAUGACCUGGGUUAGUGGAGGUUUCCCAUCCACUUGGUAUACUACUCAUACGUAUCCAACGUAUCUACAAUUUUUUGAUUCUUCCAUGCUGAUAUAUUAUCAUUCUAGAAUACUUUUGGGGUAUUUAUUUACCAAUUUAUAUUAUUUUUGAGCACUAACCUAUUGAUCCAGCGACUACUGCCAGUUGCUAUUUUAUGCGUGUUUUUCACUUUUCAGGUUUUCCAUAGCAAACGAAGUCCAAUUGCCCUGAAAAUUUUUGGUGAUUUUUUCUGGACCAAAAGAAGACCAACGAGCAUCGGAAGAAGGUUGGAGGCCUCACAAGGGGCCCACAAACCAACAGGGCGCGUCAUGGGGGCGCGCCCUGAUGGCUUGUGCCUCCCUCAUGGCCCUCCCGACUCCGUUGUUUGGCUUAUAAAUUCUCAUAUACCCUAAAAACAUCAGAGGGAGUUCCGAAACACUUUCUACACCAUCGCAAGUCUCUGUUCCGAUGGGAGGCCAUCUGGAGUUCCAUUCCGACACCCUGCUAGAGGGGGAUUGAUCAUAGAGGGCCUCUUCAUCAACCUUUCUACCCUCAUGAUGAUAUGUGAGUAGUUCACCACACACCUACGGGUCCAUAGCCAGUACCUAGAUGGCAAUCUCUCUUUGUCUCUCUUUUAUCUUCAUUACAAUGACCAUCGCAACUUCGCUUUGAUCCAUAUAUAUGAUGUAAUUCCUUUCGUGCGAUGCAUUUGUUGGGGUCUGAUGAAUUGUGGGUUUACGUUCAAAUUAUUCGUGAUAAAUAUUUGAGUCUCCUCUGAAUACUUGUAUGAUUCUAAUGUGAAUGAUUAUGAUAGGUUCAUAAUUCUCUCCGAUCUAUUGAAAUAGUUUGGCCAACUAGAUCGAUAUUUCUUCGGUGAGAGAGGUGCCUUGUGGUAGGUUCAACCUCGCGAAUUUCUAUAUCCCAGUGACAUAAGGGGACAAGAUGCAUCUUUGUAUUGCCGCUACGAAGGAUAAAACGAUGGGGAUUAUUCAUAUUGCUUGAGUUUACUUUGUCUACAACAUGUCAUUUUCUCCAUGCAUUACUCUGUUUUACUUAAUACUCUAGAUGCAUGCUGGAUAUCGGUCGAUGAGUGGAGUAAUAGUAAUAGUUGCAGGGAGGAGUCGGCCUAUUUUUUAUGGACGUGAUGCAUAUAUACACAUGAUCAUUGCCGUGAAUAUUGCAUAACUAUCCGCUUUUCUGUUAGUUGCCCAACAGUAAUUUGUGUACCCAUCGUAUGCUAUUUUUCAUGAGAGAUGCCAUUAGGGGAAAGCUAUAUCUCCCGGGUCUAUUCAUAACUUAUUGAUAAAACCUUCAUUACCUUGCUUCCAUUUCAUUGUUUUAUGUUAUCUUGCUAUCUACAAUUGUCUACACACCUCACUUGCUUGCAAAUAACAAGACAAGAGGAUUGACAACCGAGUUGCCCGCGUUGGGUGCAAGUUAUUUGUUCUUUUGUGUGCAGCCGCUGAAGACGGUUGUGGUUGAUAUUCCUAUUGGUUCGAUAAACCUUGGUUUCAUAACUUAGGGAAAUACUUACCCACAUUGUGUUGUGAUAACCCGUUCCUCUUCACGAAAAACCCAACGUAGAUCACAAGUAUCAUGAAGGAUUUAUGGCGUCAUUGUCGGGGAAUAUCAUCACCAACUACCAAGUAACUCCACACAAAAUUUCAUUCACUUGUUUCCAUCUUUUUUUUGCUGUUCUAUUUAAUUUGUCUCAUAAAAAAAUANAUACAAAAAUAUUUACAUUUUCUUGUUUUGCUUCUCACUAGAUUGCAUCUUCGCUCUCUAGUUUUCUUGAAAGUUGUUAUCAUGUCUCAGUUUGAAAUUAGUGAUGCCUCCGCCUCUAGUGUGGGAACCCUUGAUUUGCCAACUUUAACUUACGAUGAGAAUGCUAAAGUAAAUUUUGAUGAAGUUUCUAAUGAAAAACUUGAUAAUCUUGCGAAUCAUGAUCCUCCUAAGGUAGAACCUAUUAUGCAAACUAAGAAACUCCGCAUAGGUGGUGGUAAUAUUAUUGGAAAGUGUGUUAUUCAAGAUUUUUUUCACUUGUGCAGGAUCAUUCCCUUUUAUAGGAGGUUUUGUUGUUGCUAGAACUACAAGUUAUGUGAAUGUCAUAUAUUUUCUUAUAGUACAAUCGGAGAGACAAUUUGUGCAUAUGCAUCCUUUUAUACAAUGGUUGUUCCUAGAAUUCUCUAAUAUCCAUGAAGCUAGCACUAAACAUCUAGCUACUUGUCACAUCCCUGGAUCCCUAACUAGGGUUUAGUAUUUGUGCUCAUGUUUUCUUCCAUUGCAUUCAAGAAAUUGAAACAAACUCCAAGAAGUGCUGAAACUCAAACCAAAAACCCUAGCCACUUCUAAUUCAAGGAAAAUUCAAAUCUUGUCAAAAUCAAUGAACCCAAAAUGGCCUUCUUUAAAGUUCAAUAUUUCUGAUAAAUAUUGAAAACAAGUUAUCAGGGGAGAAAACUAUUUUUAAGACAUCCUUGGCAUUUUAAAUUUAAUUCAGAAAGCCCCUGAAUUCAAACUUAAAUUUGAAUUCAAAUAUUUACAAGUUUCAAAACUGUUGCAAACCUCACGAGUAGUUGGCAAUAUUCCAACUAUCACUCCGGGCUAUUCAAAAUAAUUUUUGAACUAAUUUUGGAGCCAAUAUAAAUGGCAAAUCAAAUCAGCAACAAAACAGAAAACAAAAAUAGAAAAAAAUGGGAAAAACUUACCUGUCGCUCACCUGAGGAAGCCCAGCCCACAGGGGCAGGUUCGUCUUCUUCCUUCUGCCUUCUGGCAGAGGAGUGAACGCCCACGGUGACUCCUCCACCUCCUGCUUGCCGUGGCGCGCUCCGGUGCCCCCAGGACAGCGCGAUGGCGGGAAUGAGACCCCCGCACGCGUCCUUAUCUUCUCCCGUUCCCCAUUCCGCCCCCUCCUCUCGGCUUUCUUCCUUUCUUCUUGUGCCGCCAUGGACAGAGCUCAAGCUCGAGCUGCCCGAGCCCUCUAGCCACAGGAUACUUCCUCCGAGUGCUCCAUUUUCUCCGCCUCGUCGAGCUAGCCAUGUACGCCGAAGCAUUCGACCUCCCCAAGCUCUGGUGCGCCACAUCGCCGUCGUCUUCAACCUCCGGCCGUCGGCAAGCUUCUGUUGAUUCGACGUCCACAGCACCUCCCCGAGCCGUCUGAGCUUCCCAUCGCCUCCACCGUGAGCUUGCGCGUGUUUCCCCUCUUCUUCCCCCCAUUUUCCUGCAUGCUAGCCACUAGACCGACGAGCCCGAGCUCCGGCUGCUGCCUCAGCUCGUCGCUGGUGACCUCCGGUCAAUCCCAGUCCUUCCUGAAACCCAUAAUGGAUGAGGUCGAGCCUCGGGAUCCUCCCAGUGCUCUCGGCACUCGAUCCUGAGCACCACAUGCACCACAGUAAGUAAAGGUUGUGUGUUGAACCUGAUUUGGUAAAGGUACCGGUGAAAGGCUAUGUAGGAGUACAUGGCGGGUUGUUUCAUUGGAACCGUCCUUAGGAACUGAGUUCCGUGUAUGUAAUCCAAGACUAUAUACUACAACACGUUGGGAUACUUAAUUGACACUCACGACUUAUUAAUCGCUUAGUACUCGGUCCAGGAGUUGCAAGUAGUUUCUGGUGUUUAUAGUCAUGCUGGAGGCCGUGCGUAGCGCUGACCUUAGAAGUGGGAUAUGAUGCGGUAGGCAGUGGCACGGUGUACCAAGGGGCACCCGGAUGGUGGGCUUGGGAACCCUGCGCACAUCGUUUGGGGCCGUGGCGGAAACCUCGGCCGGACUUCCGUGCGGGUUACCCUCAGAUAGGCGAUAGACCUGGACUAAGUAUUAGCGUGGUUAACGGUCGUGGCCGACUCUCUCACUGGGCUUCCGCUUGGAGGUUGCCGAGGUGCAUGUCGUGCACAUGGCGAUAAGUGGCGAGAGCAUGUGUGAAGAAGUACACCCCUGCAGGGUUAUGAUCUAUUCGAAUAGCCGCGUCCACGGAUAUGGACUACUUGGAAGCAUAUGUUGUUCAUAGAUAACUUUAAUGGCUACUCAUAAAAUUGUCAAGAUAAGUGUGAGUGUCGUGGACGGCAUUUCCGUAUGGAGACGGAAUGAUUCCACGAUGGAGUAUUGUUGUGGUGUUAGUGGACUCAUGUGCGAGAAAUCAAGUUGUCAAAAUUAUUUAAAAAUGCAAGUUGUCUAGCCACGAGUCAAAUGUUGGCUUUCCGCAUGAAACCCCACAAUUCCUUAUUGAUACAUUGCAUGAGUAGAUAGCUUAUCCUAAAGUCUUGCUGAGUACUUUUGUACUCAUGUUUGCUUAAUAAUUGUUGCAGAGGUUGUUAAUGACCCUAAUGGAGGGUUCUACCUAGACAUCGACGAUGACGAGUAGCUGGGAUCUGGCCCUAGGGUGGGUCUGUAGAUAGUCAGGCCAUGUGCCUUUAUCUUUCCCUCUGUCUGUACUCAGACAGCUUUAAAUCUUCCGCUGGCUAGUAAGAUUGUGUGUAUGACUUGUGAUGAUGGGUCGUGAGACCCCUACUUUGUAAUAUUAUGUGUGUGGAUCUUCCGAGCCUUCUAAAUAAAGUUUGUAUGUUUAUGGUUAUGUUGUGAUGCCAUCGAUGUAUCUAUACAUAUCGGUAGGCCAUGCGUACGUGUGUUGUACUUGAUAUGUAUGGGGUUCGAUUACCUAGUCGUAGGCUUUAGUAGCAUUCCUUACAGGGAAAUGCCCCUUUGUGAUCCAACGAGCCAUGGUAGUUCGCUACUGCUCCGGACACAUUGGUUGACCAGCAUGUGUCCUUCUUAGCUAUUGUGUCUGUCCCCGUUGGGGAAAUUUUACCCGAUGUAAUGGAGUCCUUGUAGCUUGCUUCGACUUGUCUACAUUCGCUGGUGACCGACACCUGCUUUGCUGGGUCAUGUAUGCAUGUCCCUGUGUGGAACUGCCGCUUUGGUUUAUGACUAGACAUGUCGAUCCGGGUUCUUUGUCAUUGGAUUGCUAGCGACACAAUUGCAUACGCGAGUCAAAAGUCGCAAACGGUCCCGGCUAAGGUAAGGCUGCAACCGUGGGGAUAACCGUGUGUGAGACCGCAAAGAGAUGCGAUGUGUUACAGUCUGGAUUCCUAUGGCUUAGGAUCGGGGUCCCGACACUACUAUAUUCCUUUUCUAAAGAAUUUAGUAAUAUCAUACAAGAAGCUAGAGAUAUAUUUUCUCAUUUUAGGUUUGAUGGUGAUUUCCCACCCAUAGAGGGGAUUCUUUAUGAAUUGGAAGAAAUAAGAAAACUAAGAUCCAUAGACUAUCUUGCUUAUGAUGAGAACCUUAGAAAGAAGGUACCGCUUAAUGUCUUAGUUGAUAAUAUUUCUAAACACAAUGAUUAAUUUGCUAUAUCAAAACUUGGAUUGGAUUAUGAUCUUCAAACAAAAUUAAGGAAAUACCUCCAUAGGAAUUUAUACAAUGAGGAACUAACUAUCACUUAUGAAAAACCCAAGGGAGAGCCUCAUGUCCCCCCCCCCCAAAGUAGACCUUUCGGAUCCUAAUGUUGUGCUAUUUAACCCCUUCAAUUAUUUUUGCUAACCUAUCAUAAAUCUUGCUGCUCAAUAAAGGGAAUAUGAUUAUAGAAUGAUGGGUCAUUCUUAAAAAUAUGACAACACUUGAAACUAUGCAAUAUACCUAGCUAGGGGCAUAAAACAAUAGCGCUUGUUGGGAGGCAACCCAAUAGUUAUCUCUAUUUUUUCUUUUAAAUUUUUAUCAGUUUGCGAUAACAUGAUUAUUUCCUAUGUAAUUAUUAUGUUUCUAUGUUUAAUUACUGUUUGUACCAAGUAAAUCCUUUGGGAUGAUUUGCAUGAUGAGUAGAAUUAAUACGGUGCAAAAACAGAAACUUUGACGUCCACUACAGAAUAUCUCUGAUUUUACUAGAACGUAUUUUCAAGCUGAAAUUUUUACACGCUAUGAAUACGCAAAUUCGUUAGGUCGUCCUAAACUUUCAGAACUUUUGGAGUUACUUUAGUAUAGGUUCAUUACAAAUUACCACAGAUUGUUCUGUUUGAGUCACAUUCUGUUUUUGCAUGCGAAGUUUGCUUGUUUUGAUGAUGCUAUGAAUUGUAUCAGGGUAUAAGCCAUGGAAGAGUUAGGACACAGUACCCUAUGCUAAAAUAAAAUAAUAAUCAACUUGUAAGAGAACCUGAAAGUAUUUGAUAUGUUGCUGAUACUAACGGAUCUCACAAAGUUUUGUUGAGUUUUAUGUGAUUGAAGUUUUCAAGUUUUGGGUAUUGUCCUAAUGGACAAAGGAUUGAGGAUCAGCAAAAGCCUAAGCUUGGAAAUUCCCAAGGAACCCCAAUGUAAUAUUCCAGGAAGGCUCAAGCGUCUAAGCUUGGGGAUACCCCGAAAGACAUCCCCUCUUUUCGUCUCAAUCCAUCGGUAUGUUACUUUGGGCUAUAUUUUUACUCAUCACAUGAUAUAUUUUUACUCAUCACAUAAAAUCAUUGUUUGCUGGACACACCUAUCUUAGAGAUAGACCACGUCAUCACAAUUUGUUAGAAUACUCUAUGUGCUUCACUUAUAUCUUUUGAGCUUAGCAGUUGCUCUAGUACUUCACUUAUAUCUUCUCGAGCACGGUGGCAUGUAGAUUUUAUUGAAAUAUUAUGAUCUCGUUCUUCACUUAUAUUUGUUUGAGAGAUGAACAAAUAGUGACAGUAAUUUUCAUGGGUCAUAAGACUAGAUAAAAAAUAAUGAGUAUUCAAUGAGUGAUAAUUAAAACCAUCAUGUAGCACAUAUAGAGAAAUUAUGGGUUAAUGAUAUUGAUGUGGUGAUAUGGAAAAGGUAAGAGUGCAUUAUUAUUAAUUCAGAAAGGUGUAGAUAUUAAUAGAUGUUAAACUUUGUGCUCAUCUAAAAUAUUAAAAGGGCAUGGUGAUGAUGUGUGAACAUUUCUAUUCCUCGCUGAAAUCCUAGCGUUGUUUUUAGUCGAAGACGCACGAUGGUUAAUUCCUACCAACCCUCUCCCUCAGGGCAUGCGAGUAGUACUUUGACUUGUGAUAAAACUAAUAAAACUUUCCAACAAGUAUAUGAGUUCUUCUUGACUAAUGUGACACCAUGGACAUAUGCAAUCUCACCUCCUCUUAAUUGCUAGCCUCUUCGGUAUCGUGCAUCGCCCGUUCUCACCUUGAGGGUCGGUGCGACUUUCGCCAGUGUAUCCCAACCCCGUGACAUGACACGCACUGUUGCACAUAAACCUUUUUAUAUACUCCUCAAAACAGCCACCAUAACUACCUAUCAUGGCAUUUUCGUAUACAUUCCGAGAUAUAUUGUUAUGCAAAUGUCACCGUCACUUCACAUGACUAGUUCGUUCAUAAUCAUAAUGCUUUGCAUGAUCAUAUAGAGAUGACAUAGUAACCAGUAGCAACAAAGUGACAACAGUAGAAGCAAAGUAACAGCAGUAGCGGCAAAGUAACAGUAGCAGCAGUGACAGCAGUAGCGGCAAAGUAACGUAGCAAGGACCAGUAGGAAAAAAACUCGUAGGCAUUAGAUCGGUGAUGGAUGAUUAUGUCGGAUGUUAGUCAUCAUGCAACAGCUAUAACACGGAGAGAUAUGUAACUAGCUCCAGUUCAUCAGUGUAAUGUAGGCAUGUAUUCCGUAUGUAGUCAUACGUGCUUAGGGAAAAGAACUUGCAUGACAUCUAUUGUCCAUCCCUCCCGUGGCAGAGGGGUCCUAAUGGAAACUACGGGAUAUUAAGGUUCUCCUUUUAAUAAAGAACCGGACCAACGCAUUAACACUUGGUGAAUACAUGAACUCCUCAUACUAUGGUCAUCUCCGGGAGUGGUUCUGGCUGUUGUCACUCCGGGGUUGCCGGGUCAUAACACAUAGUAGGUGACUACAACUUGCAAGAUAGGAUCAAGAACACACAUAUAUUGGCGACAACAUAAUAGGUUCAGAUCUGAAAUCAUGGCACUCGGGCCCUAGUGACAAGCAUUAAGCAUGGCAAAGUAGUAGCAACAUCAAUCUUAGAACAUAGUGGAAACUAGGGAUCAAUCCCCGUCAAAACUAACUCGAUUACAUGAUAGAUCUCAUCCAACCCAUCACCGUCGAGCAAGCCUACGACGAGAUUACUCACGAACGGUGAAGAGCAUCAUGGAAUUGGCGAUGAAGGAAGGUUGGUGAUGACGCUGGCGACGAUUUCCCCUCUCCGGAGCCCAGAACGGCCUCCAGAUCUGCCCUCCAGAGGAAGAACUGGAGGUGGCGGCGCCUCCGUAUUGUAAAACGCAAUGAACUCUUCUCCUUGAUUUUUUCGGACGAAAAGGACUAAAUAGACCUGAGAUUGGAAGCGAUGGAGCAAUGGGCCCCACAAGCCUGCCAGACGUGGCCAGGGGGGCCCACGCCUGGUGGGCUUGUGGGCUCCAUGAUCCACUUUCUCCGUUGAUUCUUGCGCCAGUAUUUUUCAUAUAUUCCACAAAAAUUCUUCGUAAAUUUUCAGGUCAUUCCGAGAACUUUUAUUUCUGCGCAAAAACAACACCAUAGAAAUUCUGCUGAAAACAGCGUUAGUCCGGGUUAGUUCCAUUCAAAUCAUGCAAAUUAGAGUCCAAAACAAGGGCAAAAGAGUUUGGAAAAGUAGAUACAACAGAGACGUAUCAACUCCCCCAAACUUAAAACCUUGCUUGUCCUCAAGCAAUUCAGUUGUCAAACUGAAAGAGACAAAAGGAAAACUUUUACGAACUCUGUUUGAUCUUGUUGUUGCAACUAUGUCUAACUCAUAUCCAGAAUUUCAGCAAGAUCACAAGCUAACCACAUAAGCAAAUGACAUCUAGGUCUCACGGUAAACUCAUAUCAAUGGCAUAAUCAACUAGCGAGCAAAUAAUAAUAAGUCUCAAACGUCAACACUUCAAUCAAAACAAUCAUGAAGCAGUACGAAUAGAUGGUAUCUCUCUAGCUCUUUCUGAGACCACAAAACAUAAAUGUAGAGCACCUUCAAAGACCAAGGGCUGACUAAACAUUGUAUUUCAUGGCAAAAAAGAUCCAGUCACAGUCAUACUCAAUCACAGUUAAAAGCAAAGCAUAAAAAUGACAGAGGUGCUCUCUAAUUGGUGCGUUUAUAAGAAGAGGAUGACUCAACAGGAACAUAAAUAGAUNNNNNNNNNNNNNNNNNNNNNNNNNNNNNNNNNNNNNNNNNNNNNNNNNNNNNNNNNNNNNNNNNNNNNNNNNNNNNNNNNNNNNNNNNNNNNNNNNNNNUAGUGGUAUAUAUAGUUUAGUUGGUAGGUUAGUUAAUUAGUAGAUUUAGUGGUAGUUUAGUUAGUUGGUAGAUUAUGUUUAGUUAGUUGGUAGUUUAGUUAGUUGGUACAUUUAGUUAGUUAAUUAGUAGAUUUAGUAGGUAGUUUAGUGGUAGAUUGUGUUUUGUUAAUUAGUGGUAGCUAGAUUGUCUUUUAGCUACUUAGUGGUAGAUUCUGUUUUUGUUAUUUUGUUGUUGUUUAGUGCUAUAUAGGUUUAGCGAUAGGUUUAGUGCUAGUUUACGUAGAUAAGGGAAGAAUAAUAAGNNNNNNNNNNNNNNNNNNNNNNNNNNNNNNNNNNNNNNNNNNNNNNNNNNNNNNNNNNNNNNNNNNNNNNNNNNNNNNNNNNNNNNNNNNNNNNNNNNNNNNNNNNNNNNNNNNNNNNNNNNNNNNNNNNNNNNNNNNNNNNNNNNNNNNNNNNNNNNNNNNNNNNNNNNNNNNNNNNNNNNNNNNNNNNNNNNNNNNNNNNNNNNNNNNNNNNNNNNNNNNNNNNNNNNNNNNNNNNNNNNNNNNNNNNNNNNNNNNNNNNNNNNNNNGAAGAUGAAGAAGAAGAAAAUGAAAUCCCGACACCACGACACCUGACACGAUGCCCCGAAUCCUCGACACGACGCCCCGACACGACAUCUCGACGACUCCCCGACACGAAAUAUUUUUUAUGGAUCCUAGAUGACAUCUAUAUAGGUCAUAUAUUUGUGUUAGGUCAUAUAUUUUUCGAUUUUAUUAAUGAACACAAAAUAUUUGUGUUCAACGGGUGGAUUUACAUGUCACAGUUGUCUCGCUGCUGUCAGGUCUGCUGUCCGAAGACCUCCCCGUGCGUUCUACGAGCUCCGCCCCUGCAUUUGUGGGUGAGUACAAAUGUCAUAUCCUCCUCGCCCCUUCAUUUUUGGUGGGUCGGUCUUCAGAUGAAACUUGCUAGAUAUAGGUAAUUAAAUUAAUUUAUCAGUAUGCGUGACCAGUAUGUGUUUGCCAUUCGAAAGGGUUACAGUUAUAAAUAUGCAUGUAUUUGCAUAUAUUUAUAACCGCGAUUCUUCCGAAUUGUCCAACGUUAUACAUGGACAACCCGAGUAUGUGUAGAUUGGGUUCAUUUUCCCAUAUGCUUUGUUCCGGAUCCGAUGCAUAAUUUCGUCAGUGCCUCCCUCUUGUUCUCCGGAUACACAUCCUCUCUGUUUAUUAUGGAGACGUGUAUCAGGAGAACAACGGGGAGAUCCUACCGAAAUUUUGCGUUGGAUCCGGAGUAGGGCAUGGGAAAAUGGACCCAAUCUACACAUACUCGGGUGGGAUUAGGACCUAUCUUUACCUAUUAGCGCGUAGGUUGCAUUGACGUAAUAAAACUGGCGAACUUGAUUAACUGAUGAAUAUAUAUGCUGAAUUAUAUAUAAAUAUAUUUCUUGUGUGUUUAGUAACUAGGCAAGAUGAGUGUGUUGGAAAUAUGCCCUAGAGGCGAUAAUAAAAUGGUUAUUAUCAUAUUUCCUUGUUCAUGAUAAUCGUCUAUUGUUCAUGCUAUAAUUGUAUUAACAGGAAACAGUAAUACAAGUGUGAAUAAAUAGAUCACAAUGUGUCCCUAGCAAGCCUCUAGUUAGCUAGCUCGUUAGUCAAUAGAUGAUCAUGGUUUCCUGAUCAUGGGCAUUAGAUGUCAUUGAUGACGGGAUCACAUCAUUGGAGAAUGAUGUGAUGGACAAGACCCAAUCCUAAGCAUAGCACUAGAUCAUAUUGUUGGUAUGCUAAAGCUUUUCUAAUGUCAAGUGUAUUUUAUUUCAACCGUGAGAUUGUGCAACUCCCGGAUACCGUAGGAGUGCUUUGGGUGUAUCAAACGUCACAACAUAACUGGGUGACUAUAAAGGUGCACUACGGGUACCUCCGAAAGUGUCUGUUGGGUUGGUACGAAUCGAGAUCGGGAUUUGUCACUCCGUGUGACGGAGAGGUAUGUCUGGGCCCACUCGGUAGAACAUCAUCAUGAGCUCAAUGUGACUAAGGAGUUAGUCACAUGAUGACGUGCUACGGAACGAGUAAAGAGACUUACCGGUAAUGAGAUUGAACAAGGUAUAGGUAUACCGGCGAUCGAAUCUCGGGCAAGUUCUAUACCGACAAACAAAGGGAAUCGUAUACGGGAUUGAUUGAAUCCUUGACAUCGUGGUUCAUCCGAUGAGAUCAUCGUGGAGCAAGUGGGAGCCACCAUGGAUAUCCAGACCCCACUGAUGGUUAUUUGUCGGAGAGGCGUCUCGGUCAUGUCUGCCUGUCUCCCGAACCCGUAGGGUCUACACACUUAAGGUUCGAUGACACUAGGGUUAUAGGGAAUUUUUAUACGAGGUUACUGAAAGUUGUUCGGAGUCUCGGAUGAGAUCCCGGACGUCACAAGGAGCUCCUAAAUGGUCCGAAGGUAAAGAUUGAUAUAUAGGACGGAUGGUUUGGGACACCGGAAGUGUUUCGGGCAUCACCGGUAACGUACCGGGACCACCGGGACCAUCGGAGGUGGCCCCGGGGAUCCACCGAAGGGUGGCAACGACCCCGGGAGGUAAGAUGGGCCAAGUGGGGAAGGGAACCAGCCCCUAGGUGGGCUGGUGCACCUCCCCACUCAGCCCAAUGCACAGGCGAGAGGGAAGGGGGGGGCAAACCCUAAGCCAGGUGGGCCUAAGGCCCACCAGGUGGUGCGCCACCCCCUCCCACCCUAGCCGCCGCACCUGUUUCCCAUCUGGUGGCUGCCACACCACCUAGGGGGGAACCCUAGGGGUGGCGCACCCCCCUCCCCCUCCUCCUAUAAAUAGAGAGGGGUUUUGGCCCUUGGGAGAUAGACUUUUCCCUCUCUCUCGGCGCAGCCCUACCCUUCUUCCUCCUCCUCUCUGUCGGUGCUUGGCGAAGCCCUACCAGGAGACCUCGUCUCUCCAUCGACACCAUGCCGUCGUGCUGCUAGAGUUCUUCCCCCAACCUCUCCCUCCUCCUUGCUGGAUCAAGGUGCGGGAGACGUCACCGGGCUGCACGUGUGUUGAACGCGGAGGUGUCGUAGUUCGGCACUAGAUCGGAAUCGCUGCGAGUACGACUCCAUCAACCGCGUUCUAGCAACGCUUCCGCUUAGCGAUCUUCAAAGGUAUGAAGAUGCUCUUACCCCUCUCUCGUUGCUGGUCUCUCCAUAGGAAGAUCUGAAUAUGUACGUAACCCAACAGUGGCAUCUGAGCCAGGUUUUCUAUGCGUAGAUUCUAUGCACGAGUAGAACACAAAAGUUGUGGGCGAUGAUUUGUCAAUUUGCUUGCCGCUACUAGUCUUAUUAUUUUCCGGCGGUAUUGUGGGAUAAAGCGGCCCGGACCGACUUUAGACGUACGCUUACGUGAGACUGGUUCCACCGACAGACAUGCACACCGUGCAUAAAGGUGGCUAGCGGGUGUCUGUCUCUCCUACUCUAGUCGGAUUGGAUUUGAUGAAAAGGGUCCUUAUGAAGGGUAAAUAGCUUUGGCGUAUCAUCAUUGUGGCUGUCACGUAGGUAAGAAGGCGUUCUUGCUAGAAACCCAAAUCAGCCACGUAAAACUUGCGACAACAAUUAGAGGACGUCUAACUUGUUUUUGCAGGGUUUGACAUGUGAUGUGAUAUGGCCAAAGUUGUGAUGUUGCAUGUAUGAUGUAUCAGAUGAUCAUGUUAUUGUAAUAGGUUUCACGACUUGCAUGUUGAUGAGUAUGAAAAUCGGCAGGAGCCAUAGGAGUUGUCUUAAUUUAUUGUAUGAGAUGCAACGCCAUGUGCUUACUACUUUUACUUCAUUGCUAAUGGUUAGCUAUAGUAGUAGUGAUAGUAGUAGUUGGCGUGACGACUUCAUGGAGACAUGAUGAUGGAGAUCAUGGUGUCACGCUGGUGACGAUGAUGAUCAUGCGAUGCCUGAAGAUGAGAUCGAAAGGGCGAAGAUGAUAAUGGCCAUAUCAUGUCACUAUAUGAUUGCAAUGUGAUGUUUAUCAUGUUCUACAUCUUAUUGCUUAGAACGACGGUAGCAUAAUAAGAUGAUCCCUCUUAAAAUUUCGAGAACGUAUUACCUUAAGUGUGCAUAGUUGCGAAGGUUCAUUGUCUCGAAGCACCACGUGAUGAUCGGGCGUGAUAGAUUCUAACGUUCGCAUACAACAGGUGUAAGCCAGAUUUACACACGCGAAACACCUAGGUUGACUCGACGAGCUUAGCAUGUACAGACAUGACCUCGAAUACAAGAGACCGAAAGGUCGAACAUGAGUCGUAUGGUUGAAUACGAUCAUCAUUAAGUUGCUCACCAUGGUGACUAGUCCGUCUCACGUGAUGAUCGGACACGGGUUAGUCAACAUGGAUCAUGUAUCACUUAGAUACCUAGAGGGAUAUCGAUUUAAGUGGGAGUUCAUACUUAAUUUGAUUAAAUGAACUUAAUUGUCAUGAACUUAGUCUAAAAGUUGUCUUUAUAAAUAUUGUAGAUGGCCAACGUCAACCUCAAUUUCAACGCAUUCCUAGAGAAAAACAAGCUGAAAGAUGAUGGUAGCAACUAUGCGGACUGGGUUCGCAACUUGAAGCUCAUCCUUGAAGCAGCUAAAAAGGCUUGUGUCCUUGAUGCGCCGCUAGGUGACCCUCCCGCUCCCGCAGCAGCCGAGGACAUUCUGAACGUCUGGCAAGCGCGGAGUGAUGACUACUCUCUCGUUAGGUGUGGCAUGUUAUAUAGUUUAGAAACGGGGCUCCAAAGGCGUUUUGAGCAACACGAAGCAUAUGAGAUCUUCCAAGAGCUAAAGCUAGUUUUUCAAGCUCAUGCCCGUGUCGAGAGAUAUGAAGUCUCCGACAAGUUCUUUAGAUGUAAGAUGGAGGAGAACAGUUAUGUCAGUGUGCACAUACUCAAAAUGUCUGGGUUACACGAUCGUCUGACUUCACUUGAAGUCGAACUUCCGGAUGAUGCUAUAAUUGACAGAAUCCUCUAGUCUCUCCCACCAAGCUACAAAGGCUUUGUGCUUAACUACAACAUGCAAGGGAUGGAGAAGACCAUUCCCGAGUUGUACUCGAUGCUCAAGUAUGCAGAAGUAGAAAUCAAGAAAGAGCAUCAAGUGUUGAUGGUCAACAAGACCACUAGUUUCAAGAAAGGCAAGGGUAAGAAGAACUUCAAGAAAGACGGCAAAGCUGUUGCCGCGCCCGGUAAGCCAGAUGCCGGGAAGAGGAAAAAGAAUGGACCCAAGCCUGAGACUGAGUGCUUCUAUUGCAAGGGAAAGGGUCACUGGAAGCGGAACUGCCCCAAAUACUUAGCGGACAAGAAGGCCGGCAACGUUAAAGGUAUAUGUGAUAACAUGUUAUUGAUGUGUACCUUACCAGCGCUCGUAGUAGCUCCUGGGUAUUUGAUACCGGUGAUGUUGCUCACAUUUGCAACUCAAAGCAGGAACUGCGGAAUAAGCGGAGACUGGCCAAGGACGAGGUGACGAUGCGCGUCGGAAAUGGUUCAAAGGUCGAUGUGAUCGCCGUCGGCACGCUACCUCUAGAUCUACCGUCGGCAUUAGUCUUAAACCUUAAUAAUUGUUAUUUAGUACCAGCUUUAAGCAUGGACAUUGUAUCAGGGUCUUGCUUAAUGCGAGACGGCUAAUCAUUUAAGUCAGAGAAUAUUGGUUGUUCUAUUUAUAUGAGUGAUAUGUUUUAUGAUCAUGCUCCGCUGGUGAAUGGUUUAUUCUUGAUGAAUCUCGAUCGUGAUGUUACACAUAUUCAUAGUGUGAGUACCAAAAGAUGUAAAGUUGAUAAUGAUAGUCCCACAUACUUGUGGCACUGCCGCCUUGGUCAUAUCGGCGUUAAGCGCAUGAAGAAGCUCCAUACUGAUGGACUAUUAGAGUCUCUUGACUUUGAAUCAUUUGACACAUGCGAACCGUGCCUCAUGGGCAAGAUGACUAAGACUCCAUUCUCAGGAAUAAUGGAGAGAGCAACCGACUUAUUGGAAAUAAUACAUACUGAUGUGUGUGGUCCAAUGAACGUUGAAGCUCGCGGUGGCUGUCGUUAUGUUCUCACUCUCACCGAUGAUUUGAGUAGGUAUGGGUAUAUCUACUUGAUGAAGCACAAAUCUGAGACAUUUGAAAAUUUCAAGGAAUUUCAGAGUGAGGUCGAGAAUCAACGUGACAGAAAAAUCAAGUGUCUACGAUCUGAUCGUGAAGGAGAAUAUUUGAGUCACGAGUUUGGCACACACCUAAGGAAGUGUGGAAUCGUUUCACAACUAACGCCGCCUGGCACACCGCAACGCAACGGAGUGUGUGAACAUCGUAAUCGCACUUUAUUAGAUAUGGUACGAUCUAUGAUGUCUCUUACCGACUUACCACUAUCAUUUUGGGGAUAUGCAUUAGAAACUGCAGCAUUCACUUUAAAUAGGGUACCGUCUAAAUCCGUUGAGACGACACCGUAUGAACUAUGGUUUGGCAAGAAACCUAAGUUAUCGUUUCUUAAAGUUUGGGGCUGCGAUGCUUAUAUGAAGAAACUUCAACCAGAAAAGCUCGAACCCAAAGCGGAUAAAUGCGUAUUCAUAGGAUACCCUAAAGGAACUAUUGGGUAUACCUUCUAUCUUAGAUCCGAAGGUAAAACCUUUGUUGCCAAGAACGGAUCCUUUCUAGAGAAAGAGUUUUCUCGAAAGAAGUAAGUGGGAGGAAGGUAGAACUUGAUGAGGUAAUUACACCCCCUCUCGAACAGGAUAGUAGCGCAGCGCGGGAAGUUGUUCCUGUGGCGCCUACACCAACUGAGGAGGAAGUUAAUGAUGAUGAUCAUGAAGCUUCGAAUCAAGUUACUACUGAACCGCGAAGGUCCACAAGGGCACGCUCUGCACCAGAGUGGUACGACAACCCUGUGGUGGAGAUCAUGUUGUUAGACAACCGUGAACCUUCGAACAAUGAAGAAGCGAUGGCGGCCCGGAUUCCAACAAAUGGCUUGAGGCUAUGAAAUCCGAGAUAGGAUCCAUGUAUGAGAACAAAGUAUGGACUUUGGUGGACUUGCCUGAUGACCGGCGAGCCAUAGAAAAUAAAUGGAUCUUCAAGAAGAAGACUGAUGCAAACGGUAAUGUAACCGUUUACAAAGCUCGACUUGUCGCAAAGGUUUUUCGAGAAAUUCAAGGAGUUAACUACGAAGAGACUUUCUCUCCCGUAGCGAAGCUGAAAUCAGUCUAAAUCAUGUUAGCAAUUGCCGCCUUUUAUGAUUAUGAAAUUUGGCAAAUGGACGUCAAAACAGCGUUCCUUAACGGGAACCUUAAGGAAGAGUUGUAUAUGAUGCAACCAGAAGGUUUUGUCGACCCUAAGGGUGCUAACAAAGUGUGCAAGCUCCAGUGCUCCAUCUAUGGGCUGGUGCAAGCAUCUCCGAGUUGGAACAUUCGCUUUAAUGAGGUGAUUAAAGCGUUUGGGUUCAUACAGGUUUACGGAGAAACCUGUCUGUAUGAGAAAGUGAGUGGGAGCUCUGUAGCUUUCCUCAUACUGUAUGUGGAUGACAUAUUAUUGAUGGGGAAUAAUAUAGAGAUGUUGGAGAGCAUAAAGGCCUAUUUGAACAAGAGUUUUUCAAUGAAGGACCUUGGAGAAGCUGCAUACAUAUUAGGCAUCAAGAUCUAUAGAGAUCGAUCGAGACGCCUCAUAGGUCUUUCGCAAAGCACAUACCUUGACAAGAUAUUGAAGAAGUUCAAUAUGGAUAACUCAAAGAAAGGGUUCUUGCCAGUUUUGCAAGGUAUGAGAUUGAGUAAGACUCAGUCGCUGACCACGGCAGCAGAAAGAGAGAAGAUGAGUUAUGUCCCCUACGCUUCAGCCGUGGGCUCUCUAAUGUAUGCCAUGCUGUGUACCAGACCUGAUAUAAACCUUGCCAUAAGUUUGGUAGGGAGGUACCAAAGUGAUUCCGGUAUGGAACACUGGACAGCGGUCAAGAAUAUCCUUAAGUACCUGAAAAGGACUAAGGAAAUGUUUCUCGUUUAUGGAGGUGACGAAGAGCUCGUCGUAAAGGGUUACGUCGACGCUAGCUUCGACACAGAUCCGGGUGACUCUAAGUCACAGACCGGAUACGUAUAUGUGUUGAAUGGUGGGGUAGUGAGCUAGUGCAGCAGCAAGCAAGAAGUCGUGGCAGCAUCUACAUGUGAAGCGGAGUACAUAGCUGCUUCAGAAGCAACUCAUGAAGGAAUUUGGAUGAAGGAGCUCAUCACCGACCUUGGAGUGGUUCCAAGCGCGUCGGGUCCAAUGACACUCUUCUGUGAUAACACUGGGGCCAUUGCCAUAGCCAAGGAGCCCAGGUUUCACUGGAAGACGAAGCACAUCAAAUGCCGCUACAACUCCAUCCAGGACCAUGACCAGAGUGGAGUGAUAGAUAUUUGUAAAGUACACACGGAUCUGAAUGUUGCAGACCCGUUGACUAAACCUCUUCCACGAGCAAAACAUGAUCAACACCAUAAUGCUAUGGGUGUUCAAUACAUCACAAUGUAACUAGAUUAUUGACUCUAGUGCAAGUGGGAGACUGUUGGAAAUAUGCCCUAGAGGCAAUAAUAAAAUGGUUAUUAUCAUAUUUCCUUGUUCAUGAUAAUCGUCUAUUGUUCAUGCUAUAAUUGUAUUAAGAGGAAAGAGUAAUACACGUGUGAAUAAAUCGAUCACAAUGUGUCCGUAGCAAGCCUCUAGUUAGCUAGCUCGUUAGUCAAUAGAUUAUCAUGGUUUCCUGAUCAUGGGCAUUAGAUGUCAUUGAUGACGGGAUCACAUCAUUGGAGAAUGAUGUGAUGGACAAGACCCAAUCCUAAGCAUAGCACUAGAUCGUAUUGUUCAUAUGCUAAAGCUUUUCUAAUGUCAAGUGUCUUUUCCUUCGACCGUGAGAUUGUGCAACUCCCGGAUACCGUAGGAGUGCUUUGGGUGUAUCAAACGUCACAACGUAACUGGGUGACUAUAAAGGUGCACUACGGGUACCUCUGAAAGUGUCUUUUGGGUUGGUACGAAUCGAGAUCGGGAUUUGUCACUCCGUGUGACAGAGAGGUAUCUCUGGGCCCACUCAGUAGAACAUCAUCAUGAGCUCAAUGUGACUAAGGAGUUAGUCACACGAUGACGUGCUACGGAACGAGUAAAGAGACUUACCGGUCACGAGAUUGAACAAGGUAUAGGUAUACCGACGAUCGAAUCUCGAGCAAGUUCUAUACCGACAGACAAAGGGAAUCGUAUACGGGAUUGAUUGAAUCCUUGACAUCAUGGUUCAUCCGAUGUGAUCACUGUGGAGCAAGUGGGAGACACCAUGGGUAUCUAGACCCCGCUGAUGGUUAUUGGCCGGAGAGGCGUCUCGGUCAUGUCUGCUUUUCUCCCGAACCCGUAGGGUCUACACACUUAAGGUCCGAUGACGCUAGGGUUAUAGGGAAUUGUUAUACGAGGUUACCGAAAGUUGUUCGGAGUCCCAGAUGAGAUCCCGGACAUCACGAGGAGCUCCGUAAUGGUCCGGAGGUAAAGAUUGAUAUAUAGGACGGAUGGUUUCGGACACCGGAAGUCUUUCGGGCAUCAUCGGUAACGUACCGGGACCACCGGGACCACCGAAGGGGGCAACGACCCCGGGAGGUAAGAUGGGCCGAGUGGGGAAGGGAACCACCCCUAGGUGGGCUGGUGCGCCUCGCCACUCUGCCCAAUGCGCAGGGGAGAGAGAAGGGGGGGGCAAACCCUAAGCCAGGUGGGCCUAAGGCCCACCAGGUGGUGCGCCACCCCCUCCCACCCUAGCCGCCACCCCCCUUUCCCAUCUGGUGGCUGCCGCACCACCUAGGGGGUAACCCUAGGGGUGGUGCACUCCCUCCACCUCCUCCUAUAAAUAGAGAGGGGUUUUGGCCCUUGGGAGAUAGACUUUUCCCUCUCUCUCAGCGCAGCCCUGCCCUUCUUCCUCCUCCUCUUUGUCGGUGCUUGGCGAAGCCCUGCCGGGAGACCUCGUCUCUCCAUCGACACCAUGCCGUCGUGCUGCUGGAGUUCUUCCCCAGCCUCUCCCUCCUGCUUGCUGGAUCAAGGUGCGGGAGACGUCACCGGGCUGCACGUGUGUUGAACGCGGAGGUGCCGUAGUUUGGCACUAGAUCGGAAUCGCUGCGAGUACGACUCCAUCAACCGCAUUCUAGCAACGCUUACACUUAGCGAUCUUCAAAGGUAUGAAGAUGCUCUUACCCCUCUCUCGUUGCUGGUCUCUCCAUAGGAAGAUCUGAAUAUGCGUAGGAAAAUUUUGAAUUUAUGCUACGUAACCCAACAGAGUGAUCGUGCGUGGAUGUACACGGGUCACCCUAGUCAGAAAGAGAUGAUGAAAGAAUGGUUUCUAAAAACCAAGGAGUUUGUGAAAGCCGCAUUUGCAAAUGUGCAGGAAACAAACUGGUGCCCUUGUCCUGAAUGCGACAACUAUAACAAAAGGACAGAUGCUGUAAUGAUUAAACACCUGCAGAGGAGGGGUUUUAAGCCUAAUUAUACGGUUUGGACAUUUCUUGGUGACUCUAUACAACGCACUAGAGCUGAGGUGGUUCAUCGUCGCACCGACGAGCAUGGUACCGGGAUCGAAGACAUGGUGCAAGACUUUGAUGAUGCUCGGGAUUCGGCAGAUGAGAUGGAGGAAUCUGCAAAGGCCUUCUAUGAAAUGUUGGAGUCUUCAAAACGUCCUCUCCAUGAGCACACUGAGCUUUGUCAGUUGGAUGCCAUUGCACAAGUAAUGGCUCUGAAGGCUCAGUUCAACUUGGGAAGAGAAUCCUAUGACGCGAUGAUGACACUAUUUGGACGCUUUCUACCCAAAGGCCAUGUCAUGCCUGCAAAACUAUACCAGUCAGACAAAAUACUUCGUGUACUUAAGAUGCCCUAUGAGAAGAUACAUGCAUGUGAGAAAGGAUGUGUCUUAUUUAGGAAGGAGUAUGCACACUUGGACUAUUGUCCCAAUUGGAAGUCUUGCAGGUAUCUUGUGGCAGACAACGGUAUGGGUGAGAAGAGGCUGACCAAAGUUGCAGUUAGUGUUCUUCCGUAUAUGCCAAUCAUACCAAGGCUUCAACAUCUUUUGAUGGUCGAAGAGACAGCCAGAUAGAUGACAUGGCACAAAAUGGGCAAAAGAAUCGACCUAGAUGCGGAUGGGAAUAAGAUGGCAGUACACACAUUGGAUGGGGAAGCUUGGAAACAUUUUGAUGGAUUGCAUCACGAUAAAGCGGCAGAUCCGAGGAAUCCUCGAGUCUGCAUCGCCACAGAUGGUUUUAAUCCCUUCAGCAUGACGGCAACCCAAUACAAUAGUUGGCAUGUAUUUGUCAUUCCACUCAAUCUCCCCCCGGGCAGAUUAUGCAAAGAAAGAACAUAUUUCUAACAUUGAUAAUUCCAGGGCCCAAUUAUCGGGGGAAGAAUAUGAAUGUGUACAUGCAGCCGCUUAAGGAUGAAUUGCAAGAAGCUUGGGACAAUGGGGUCAAGACAUACGAUGCCGCUAGAAAAGAGAACUUCAAAAUGCAUGUGUGGUACAUGUACUCUAUGCAAGACUUGUCGGCGUAUGCGCUAUUCUACGGAUGGUGCGUGCAUGGAAGGUUCCCGUGCCCCACAUUCAAGGCAGCUCUUCAGUUUCAUUGGUUGCAGGAGGGUCAGAAGUAUUCUUGCUUUGACUUGCAUAGACAGUUCCUAGAUCCUGGCCAUCAAUUCAGAAAAGACAAGAAGAACUUUACCAAAGGUAAAGUUGUCAAAAACUUGGCACCACCUGUGUUGACAGGCCAACAGAUCCUGGAUCAGUUAAACGCCCUCGAGCCUGAUCCAAAGCGUCCAGGGUAUUUCAAGGGGUAUAAUUCAAAACACGCCUGGACUCACAAGCCAUGCUUGUGGGAUCUGCCUUACUUCAAAGACCUCCUUCUUCCACACAAUAUCGACAUGAUGCACACCGAAAAGAAUAUCAGAGAGGCUAUUUUUGGUACAUUGUUCGACAUAGAUGGGAAGACAAAGGAUAAUACUAAGGCUAGAGUCAAUCAAGAGACACUAUGUCACAGACCGUUACAAAACAUGCGAGAAGGCAAAGGAAAGCAGAAGUGGUCGAAGCCAAAGGACUGGUUCAAUCUUGGAAGGCCAGCUAUGAGGGAAAUUAUAUUGUGGGUCAAAAUGCACUUGAUGUUCCCCGAUGGGUAUGCAGCGAAUCUAAAGAGGGGAGCGAGUCUUGAAAAAAAUAAAAAUCUUGGUCUCAAGAGUCAUGAUUGGCACAUAUGGCUUGAGCGGGUAAUGCCGGUGAUGUUACGUGGCUUUAUUCCUGAGGAUGAAUGGCUAGUACUGGCGGAGCUGAGCUAUUUCUUCCGUGUUAUUUGUGAGAAAGAAUUGUCUCCUAGCGUGGUAGAUGACAUGGAAGAGUUUGCACCGGAGUUUCUAUGCAAGUUAGAGAAGAUCUUUCCGCCGGGCUUCUUUAAUCCAAUGCAGCAUUUGAUUUUACAUCUACCGACCGAGGCAAGAUUGGGUGGGCCCGUGCAAAAUUAUUGGUUCUAUGCAACUGAGAGGAUGCAGAAGACGCUUCGAGCUAAAUGUAAAAAUAAGCGUAGAGUUGAAGCAUCGAUGGUUAAGGCAUUCAUUACUGAGGAGGUGGCAAACUUUGUGACAGCACACUAGGAAGCCAAAUAUCAUCAUUUGCAUAAUCCGUAGCCUCGGUACAAUGAUGAAGACCCUAAAAGGGGUGGAUCUAACCUCAGCCUAUUCAAAGGGAAGCUCGCACCAGCUGGUGCUUCGAAACCAAUAACGUUGGAUGUCGAAGAAUGGCGAAACAUUUCGUUGUAUAUCUUCAACAACCUAACAGAAGUGCGGUUGUACAUCGAGUAAGUUCUCGACACAUUUUUUCAUAACUUCUAAUUCCUUUGAACUGCUCUUAUUCCUGGAUAUUUCAUACAGCCGAUACGUUGCCAAAUUCUCGGAUGGAGUGGUGACCCAAAAUGAUUUCGUCGAAGAGUAUGAGCUUCUAGCAAAUCAUGGAGGCGGCUAUCCCGGUUUCAUCUCUUGGUUCAAACAAACGGUAAUUAUCAAUAAUGGACCAUUUCAUUUCUUGGUCUAACUUUCGGCUAAUGCAACAAUCAUUUCGUAUUAAACUUGUAGGCUAAUUCAGAGUCUAUGGCCGCCGAGUUGAGACAAGCCGCUAAUGGUUUUGACUAUAAGGUCCAUUCAUUUGAGAAAUACAACAUCAAAGGGUAUCUCUUUGGUACCUUUCGCAAAGAGCUAUCUAUGCCCGACCGGAAAUCUACCAAUUGUGGUGUCUCUGCUAUCGGCAAAGGCGGUCUCGAGUAUUAUGGAAGGGUUGAAGCAAUUUAUGAACUUCAAUUAUAUGGUGAAAACCCACCGAACGUCGUAGUCUUGAAAUGUUCUUGGUUCCAUCCAAAGGAGACUACAAGGACUCAUGAACAUAUAGGACUAGUCAAAAUCUAUCCAAACACCCAUUUAGAUGUUCCCGAUGUCUAUAUUACGGCUCAACACGCGACCCAAGUUUUCUAUCUACCAUGGGCAUGCCAAACUGAUAAGAAUCUGGAAGGUUGGUAUGUUGUUUAUGAAGUGCAGCCACGUGUUAAACCAUCUCCCCCAAAUGAACAAGAUUAUGAACCUCACAUUAACUCAAACACAUAUGAUGGAGAAUUCUUCCAAGAAACACCUAUUUCCAAGAAACGUUUCAAGAACCGCCAUGCUUCACCCCAGAACAUGGAAGUAGACAACGACAAUGAAUCCAACUUCACCCCUGAGACGGAACCAACAGAGCUGGAACUAGAAGAGGUUACUGAUGGGAUGACCUGUCAAUGCUUGACUGAUUACAGAAACGCCUUCCACAACUUCAUUCGUUCAACCCGAUGAGCAUGUCAUUCAUGAAGAAAUGCGUGAUAGUGAUGAUGAUGAUGCAUUUAUUGAUGAUGAUUAUUAGUUUGUAAGAUUCCCAACUUAAAUUAUAUAUGUACGUAUUAUUAUUCAUGUGAGUUAUUCAAUUUUUUUAUGUUGUACUAAUUUAUUUUAAUCUUUAUCAUGGCAGGUCAGCAUGUGUUGAAAGAUGGUGGGCGCGGGUCUAGAUCGCUCAACAGGUUCUUCUUCGGCGGCCCGCACGAGGGGUGGUACUUCCAUUCCACCCCUAUGUCUCCGUAGAGCCUUUCCAGUCAGUCUGACGACACCACCCACGGGUGCUUCUUCGUCGGCGGCAUUGCCCACUGGGAGAGGUGCUGGCCGGGCAGGGAAGAAGGGGAAGGGUAUAGGGAGAGGUGGUGGCCGCGGAAGAGGUAGGCGGACUGUUGCGCCGUCCUCGUCACCACCACCAGCUCAUUCAUCCGAGCACAGGACUACUAUGGUGGACCCGUUUGCGGAGGAGGCUACGGGGACUCUAGUCUAGGAGCCUCGGGUGGACGGGCAUUCGGACCAUGAGACUCCGGUCCAGGAUUAGCCUCGGGUCGAGGUGCCUUCGGCCCACGAGACUCCGGUUCCUGAGGCUACGUCCUUGGAGACUUCUGCCACACACGCUUCGGCCGGCGUGGAGACGUCCGGAUGGGGUGCCUGGUCGGAUCGGACCGAGGUGCCGGAUUGGACCGAGGGUCCGAGUGGCUAUUCUGUUGAUGGCGGGGAUGAGUCUACGGAUAGUGAGGGUGACGUGCAGGUGGACGGGGCCACCGUGUACAGGCAUGGUAGUAUACGUCUCCCAGUCGCGUCGGCUACCAGCGAGCAGAGGCCGGUGAUUAAGCGUGAAGGGGAUAGGUAAGUACGUUUACUCUUUUUUUAGCUGCUGCCUUCAAGUUCCUUCAAAUAUCUAAUGCGUUGACCUUAUCAUACAGCAGGGGCUGGAAACACCCUGGUGGAGUCGACAAGCCAAACAGCAUCCUUGGUGUGCUUUGUCGGACAAAUUUCUCGGGGUUUGUCACGUUGCCUGGUGAGGGUCAGGUUCCUACACUAGGAUUUUCCUCGGAGCACUACCAGGCUGUGCAGGCCCCGUCGGAGGACAUUAUAGAUGGUGCCUUGUGCCACACGAGGGCCGAUAUGAUGAUCAACAACUUUUGGGCAAAUUAUCCUUUUACACAAUCUAAAAUUAACAAUAUAGCUAAUUAUUGUACUAAUCGGUGUUGUCUCGUUUGAUUGCAGACCUUCUAUACGUGUGAGGAGGAGGCGGCCAAGGUUAUCAAGGCCGAGUGUAGGCGGUUAUUACAGAAUUUACGCCACAAGGCUCGGCCGCGGGCCAUUCGAGACUACUAUGCCACGAUUGGUAUUAAGAAGCAGAAGAAGGAGUGCCGCGGAAAGUAUCUGAAGGAGGAGUACAUGAAGGUAAUUACCUAUUCUUAAGGCCUUGUAUGUAGUUUUCUUGAUUUGAUUCAUAGGUGUAGCGCUCAAAAUUCGAGCCGACCACGACAAUGCAAAGGAUCAGCGUAGCAAAAUGGUUGGUGUGCCACACCAUCAAGGGAGCGCCAACUUACUUCAGUUCGGACGAAACUGGGUAUGUGGUUUGCUUCAUGAUUCAUGCAAUUCAUUCUUCAUGCUAGCUUGAGCCCCUUACUAAUACUUUGUUCCUCUCUUUUAGGCGCACCAUAAUAAGAUGGAGAUGCCAAAGUUCUACGACCUUUAUGGCAUGGCCCAUACCGCCUCGUACAAGAAGGUGAAGGCAUUCUGUGAGUCUAACCUGGAUGAUCCAAAUAACUUCACCAGCAUCUCAUCCCACCACAAGCUCAUGAAAUACAGGUACACAGGAAAGGCUUGGAAAGGGGAGGACUUUAACCCAAGCCAGGAACCUUUGGAUCCAGAGCUCGUGAUGAUAUCUGGUGGCGGGAGGCCCCAUGGCUCGAUAGCCAUUGGAGAUGGGAUAAUACGUUGUCCACUCACUCUCCCGGAGAUCAAGGCGCGCCAGUCAAGCUCCUGUCCUAAGAUAACGCCUGGUCCACGGGCAGUCGAUCUUGCCAUCGAGGUUAGUUGUACGGACUCAGAAAACUUCCAUCCAUUUCAUUGUGUGUGUGCCAUCGAUCAUUACUGUGGUAGCGAGGAAUGGUGUUGCAGGUUGCUCUUAAGAAAGAGAGAGUGGCAAACGAAGCUGCUCUUGAGAAAGAGAGAGCCGCAAGCCAGGCUGCUCUUGAGGAGAGAGACCAGACCACAGCUCGGUUGAUUGAGGGGGAGAGGGCCCGCAAUGAGGUGGCUCACCUCGUCAUGUACGAGCUUAUUGUGGUAAGUUUCUUUUUCACAUUAGCCAAAUCAUGUGUGUAAUGUAUGCUUCAUUACUAACUAAUACGACUGACUCUUCAAAACCGAAUGUGCAGUCUAUGUACGAGAAUACCGGUCAAGCCCCUUCACCGAUGCCCAUCUUCUGUGCGAUUGGCACGGUGAGUUUCAUAUCAAUGGUCAUUAUAAACUAGUAUUAACAAUUGAGUGUCAUCAUGCUAACCGAGACAUUGCAAAAUAUCUUUUCUGCAGAAUAACUCCCGAGAGGCAUCGCACGACCCUUCUCCAGGGCAACUGUCUCCAAACGAAGCCGACGCAAGGACCCUGGUGUUUCUCCUCCUUCAUGACCAAUGUGGUAAGUUUUCUCCAAAAUGACAAAAUAAGCUCCUACUUGAUUUCUACUAGGAAAAAUAGUUAGUGAAACCACUAGGUUCAUAACUUAGCUAAUUUAGCUCCAAAAUGGUUAGUGAAACCACUAGUCUCAUAACUUAGCUAAUUUAGCUCCAAAAUGACAUAAUAAGCUCGAUUGAAAUAGUAAAAAUGAAAAGAAGAAAUAAGAAGAAGAAGAGAAGNNNNNNNNNNNNNNNNNNNNNNNNNNNNNNNNNNNNNNNNNNNNNNNNNNNNNNNNNNNNNNNNNNNNNNNNNNNNNNNNNNNNNNNNNNNNNNNNNNNNNNNNNNNNNNNNNNNNNNNNNNNNNNNNNNNNNNNNNNNNNNNNNNNNNNNNNNNNNNNNNNNNNNNNNNNNNNNNNNNNNNNNNNNNNNNNNNNNNNNNNNNNNNNNNNNNNNNNNNNNNNNNNNNNNNNNNNNNNNNNNNNNNNNNNNNNNNNNNNNNNNNNNNNCUUCUCCUCCUCCUCCUUAUUCUUCUUAUUCUUCUUCUCCUUCUUCUCUUCUUUCUUCUUCUCUUUCUUCUUAAAUUUAGCUUAUUUUCCCCAACAAAGACAUACUUAGCUAAUUAUCCUCCAAAAUGACAUAAUUAGCUUAGUUAGGCAAAAACAUCAUAAGAACCUUGGUUAGCUCAUUAAAAUGACUAAUUAAGCUCCUAAAAGACAUUAUAAGCUCAAAAUGGCAUAAGAACCUUGGUUAGCUCAUUAAUAUUAUAUACUUAGCUUGUUUUCCUCUAUAAUGACAUAAUUUGCCCAUUUAGCUCNUCAAAAUGAUAUAAUUAGCUUAGUUAGGUAAAAACAUCAUAAGGACCUUGGUUAGCUCAUUAAAAUGACUAAUUAAGAUCCUAAAAGACAUUAUAAGCUCCAAAUGGCAUAAGAACCUUGGUUAGCUCAUUAAUAUUAUAUACUUAGCUUGUUUUCCUCUAUAAUGACAUAAUUUGCCCAUUUAGCUCNGGAGUGCUUUAGUUCUAGUUUUCAUUUGAGUUGAUGAACAAUGUGGAACUAUAUGUAUAUGUAUAUAUGGAUGAAGAAUAUAUGUGGAACUACAUGUAUAUGUAAAUAUUGCUGAAACUUUGUUUAUGUUGGUUAUUUUGAUAUAUGCGAUGUACAUUGAUGAACAAAUGGCAUUGAUGAACUUUAUAUGUAUAUCAUAUAUGUGUUCUGACCUAUAUAUCAUAUCUGUGCUAUGAAUUAUAUAUAAAUAUAUUUCUUGUGUGUUUAGUAACUAGGCAAGAUGAGUGUGUUGGAAAUAUGCCCUAGAGGCGAUAAUAAAAUGGUUAUUAUCAUAUUUCCUUGUUCAUGAUAAUCGUCUAUUGUUCAUGCUAUAAUUGUAUUAACAGGAAACAGUAAUACAAGUGUGAAUAAAUAGAUCACAAUGUGUCCCUAGCAAGCCUCUAGUUAGCUAGCUCGUUAGUCAAUAGAUGAUCAUGGUUUCCUGAUCAUGGGCAUUAGAUGUCAUUGAUGACGGGAUCACAUCAUUGGAGAAUGAUGUGAUGGACAAGACCCAAUCCUAAGCAUAGCACUAGAUCAUAUUGUUGGUAUGCUAAAGCUUUUCUAAUGUCAAGUGUAUUUUAUUUCAACCGUGAGAUUGUGCAACUCCCGGAUACCGUAGGAGUGCUUUGGGUGUAUCAAACGUCACAACAUAACUGGGUGACUAUAAAGGUGCACUACGGGUACCUCCGAAAGUGUCUGUNGCGGAUGGCAAAGGCCUUUGCCAUCAGGCAGCUGAUGGCAAAGGUGCCACGUGGCACCCAGCUGUGCAACCUGGGCAGCAACAGUUGGCCGUAUGGGCUCUUUGUCGUCCGCUGCCUCGGGAGGCUAACGGCACAGCGGUAGGGAGGCAAACGGCAAAGAGUAUGAUCCCUGCGCUGGCCCAACUCUGUGCUGGCCAUAGAAGCAGAUGACAAAGAGGGGGAGGGACGCAGACGACAAAGAGAGGGAGGGAGGCAUACGACAAAGAGAGGGAGGAAGGAAGAUGGCAACUAGAGGGAGGAAGGCAAACGACAAAGCCUCUGUUAGCCCUAACGGAGGCGUUGCCUGUCGGCUGCCCUCUAAGCAUGUUUGUCGUCUGCUCUAUGCCAGAGGCUGACGGCAAAGACCUUUGCCAUCCGCUUAAGGAAGACUGACGACAAAGAAGGUGAUAUGUCGUCGAAAGUCAUCGUAGGAACAUUGCCGACAGGAGGCUGACGACAAAGACCUUUGCCGUCGGUGGAUCACCUCUUUGCCGUCUGUUAUGGCAGACGGCAAUGAGUCCGAUUCCUCUAGUGAUUGGUGCUAAAAAUGUGGUAUUGACCAUUAUUUAGUUGUUGAGGAUUGCUGUGAAAUCCAUACUGAUUGCUAUUUUGUUGAUUUCCUUGGUCAGAACGCUACCUAUUACCAGUAUUCUCUUGGUGCUGAUAUUCUAAUCUAGAACCGCCUGGUUCGUUAAAUCCGGACCCUAAGAAACCUCAAGACGAGCCGCCUUGCGGGCCAGGUUGUUCAUACUGACCCGAAUGUCCACCAUUAUCCCCAAGGUGGCAUUGAAAGGCUUGAUUUCUAAACUCCUGCAUGAUAUAGAAAUUUUCCCAUGAAUGAUUAGAUGGCUUAUCCUGAGUGCUAUCCUUUAGUCAAGGCGCCUUGAGGGCCUCCUCAUAGUUAUGUGGCUUAUUCCCUUAUAAGGUCCUUCGGAACGGCGCUGGUGUUUAAAUUCAGUGUUGGUAUUGGCCACAAAUUCUGAACUGCCCUCAGACUACCUCCGUUUAUUGUUGUGGUUUCCCUGGUUUCCACUUUGUUGGUUACCUUUGGCACCUUCUCCUUUCUUGCACUUGUCGGUCUUGUCCUCGUCUGACCCAGGGUCUUUCGUGCCACCUGACUCGGCGUACCUUGUCAGAACGUCCAUCAAGUCGCCCAUGUAUUGAGUCUUUCGCUUCAAACGACCCAACUUAAGCACCAAUGGCUGGAAAUGACAAUUCUUCUCCAGGUUUAGAACGGCUUGUGAGGCUAUUAUACUAUCCGAUGAAUCAAUUAUUUCUGCAACCGACGAGUCCAAUGAUGGGCUCACUCGCCCGUCCGCUGAACGUAAUGCUGGAGAUCCACAAUUGUCAUCGGGCGCUUGCAUGUUCCUUAGAAUUUUUUUACGAAUCGUUCCUUCAACUCCGCCCAAGUGUUGAUGGAAUUAGGUGGAUGUUUUUUAAGCCAAGUUAGGGCUGGCCCUUCUAACAUCAUCAUCACAUACUUUGCCCAUACCUCAUCACUGACGUCGAGCAUGUCCAUGGCUAGCUCGUAACUUCCAAUCCAUACCACCACCUCAAGAUCUGAUGUAUAGUUUGGCACAUUGCGCGGUCCUUUCAAGUCUUUGGGCAUGGGCUCGCUACGAAGAGCCAGAGAUAAGCAUGGAACACCGAUUGUCCUGGUGCUACUUCUGGCUCCAUGUGUUGCUUAUUGUGGUUCCGCUACAUGCGGUUGAGCCGCCCGCCUCAUGGCCGCUUCUGCCUCCACCUGACGGGCGGCUCUUGCCGCGUCCACCAAGUCUUAGGAAUUCUGAAAUCCUGGACCAGUCGGGGAAACCCAAAGCUGUUGUCGCCACACGUUACUGGAAACAGCCGAUGACUCCCCAUGGCGGAUGAUAUAAGGUGUGGAGUGCAUUCGAUCUCGACUGUAUGAGUACUGCACCUGUUGGGCCACUGCCAUCUUCAGCAUCUCAGUCGCGUUCCUAGCUUCAAUUUCCACCGGGGUGUUUCCAUGUAUAGGGAGCGACUCCAAGUGACGCAUUGCAGCCAACAUAUGGUCAACGGGGUUGGAAAAUAACCCUGUGGUGUGUAAAAAUGAUGUGGCCAUGCCUGAGCUGGUUGUGCCUUAGCCAGUUGUGCCUAAGCUGGUUGUGCCUCAUCUGGCUAUCCCUGAUCAUGCGGCGGGUUCCGUGCAGCGUGAGGACUGUGGGGACUAGCAAAUAGGAGCGUCGGUGUUACGUCUAGUGGUAACCAAGAUUGAUGUCUCCUCAAGUGAAUCGCCUCUUUUGUCUGUUAUCGAAGUCCAAGCUGCCACGCCUCUACCCGUAAAUGCUCCAACUCAUCACCGACUCGAUCCUGUGUCUCUGCAAACCGUAUGUUUUCAGUGUCGAUCUCUUUCUGAACCUUGAUCAUCUUUGUGCAGAGUUUUGCUAGUUCUGCAUUACGUUCUUCUCAGUUCUCGUUGAUUAUUGUAUCCUCCAAGAGAUUAGUCAUCUCGGCAUUCAGGUCACUCAUGGCUUGAGACAACGUUUUACUCGACCCACCAGCCUCAUUGGUGGCUCCUGCUGUAGCUGGAUCUGAUGAAGGCGCGACUCAAGCCAUGUAAAUAGUGACUUGCCAAGGUGGGUCAUCUGGCUCCGUCGUAGCUUCUUCCUCCAGAGCUUCCCCAAGCUCGUUACUAAGGGGAAAGAUGGAUCCGGUGUAUCUCAUGGAGGACUCGCCAUCAUGGUUGUCAUUGUCGAGGAUGUCCUCAACGUUUGCCGGUUCAUCCGCAAGGCUGAGCCCCUAGGUCAAUCCGACAAACAUGUGACGACUAUGUGUUUGGAAAUGACCGUGUCGGUCGCGCCGAGUCAGCUCGUUGACGGUGGUGUAUAUGUCCGACCCGAGCAUCCUUGCGCAGAUCUGACCGAAGGGGAUCUGCGAAUUAGUUUCUCCUAAGCCGACCUUAAAGCCCUAACCUAUGUUGUUGAUGUAGCGAUUGUUGCGAUGAUUCUUGAUCAUCUUGGCCACCGCGCGACUCCCAAAUCCCGGAAGAGUUCCCUCUGAGUACUCAACUCCACCUUGUGAUUGCCCCAUGGUGGGCGCCAACUGUCGUGGUUUUUUCGCGGCAGAUGUCCUCAUGAAUGGACUUAGUGGUGAGACCAUUGUCGUGAUGUGGGGACUCGAAGGGGUUGAUUGGGAAACAAAAGGCGGAUUUACCCAGCUUCAACCCCUCCGAUGGAGGUAAAAGCCUACGUCCUGCUUUGUGUUUGUAUUGAUGGCAAUCUCGAUUACAAGGGUGCGGAAUCGCUAACCUAGCUCUCGAGGGUUUCUAACUUGAUAUCUCUGGCUUGAGGGUCCUCCUUUAUAUAUAGGUAGAGGCCCCAAGUCUACAGUGAAGUCUCAGUCAAAUAAACAGUCGGGUGCUACUACAAAUCUACCUUAUCUUUCUUCCUAAGUGAGGAAAGCUUCUAGUGUCUCUUGCCAUGUUCAUCUUUGAGUCGCCGCCUUCUGGUGAUGGGCCACUUGGGGGCUUUGUCGACUAAGUCCGCCGGCCCAUAUUCUCAUCUUUUCCUUGCGGCUUGACCCGCCCUCAUAAGGCGGAUUAAAUCCUGGGGUUAUAUCCCCGACACUCGGGAAGAAAACUGGUCGGCGCAUACCGAGUUCAGAUCCGGAGCCCCCGUGAGGCUAACCUCGUGUGUUAGAAAAGGUAUUGACUGGGGAUCGGCCUUGGAGGUGAAUGCGCUAUAGAAGCACAUCACACAGAUGGGGGAGGCGAAUAUCAAGCUGACCAACGUGGUUCAGGUCAUGCUCCGCCGUUGCAUCCUUCCCUGCGAGCGUCGGGACACUCCAAUGUGGUCCUACAAGCUUGGUGACCCCAAGACCGUGCACCAGUUCUACCACACUACCCAUGAGAAAUUGUGGAGGGUGUUGUUCAAACCUCAACAGGAAUGGCCGGUCGAGGAAGAAGACGCCGGCUUUGAUGCCGAUCACCCUCCCUUGGAGGAAUAACUGAGCUUUUAUCUUAUUUAAAGCUUUAAUAUUUAGCAAGGAGCUUAUCCUUUCCACCAUCAUCCCUGUAGGGCUGGUUGAACAAGGCCGUGAAAAUAAACAACCCAGCCACCUACCUGAGGACCCCAGGUCGCCAUUGUUGAUCGUGAUGCUGGUGGUGGCGCCAUACACGACACUAGAGAAAAAAGAGAAAAAGAAAAGGGAGGCCCGCGGGGGUCUCCGCUCGAGGGGUCCUCCGGAUACCAAGUUCGGAGACACCCAUGCUUCCUCCACCUACGAGAAAGAGGAUGCACAUGACGGAGAGGAGAAAGAUUCCCUCCGAACAAGAAAGAGGACGGCGCUGGAGGAGGCCAAGGAGGGCUUGCCUCCUCAGGCCCGGAAGAGGCCCUACAGGAGCAAGGUCAUCCAUUCCGACGAUAUCUCAAAUUCUGAUGGGGACUCCGGGGCCUUUGAGAGGGUUCCCCGAAGGAACCCCAGGAUCAAGCCCUGUCGAAAGGUAUGGAAUCCAAACUUUAUUUAUUGGAAUUAUACUGAGCAUUUGUUAAUAAACAUACGUGCUCCUUUCCUUGACGCAGCCCUACCUGAAACCUCUUGACGAACCAGGUCUAAAAGGGGGGUUCACCACCGGCCAAGCUAGCGGAGAGCGGGAAUGUGUCCCGUACUACUCUCCCUUGGGCAUCGGACGAGGUUGCGGAGGUGAUAUCCCACCAGGCCCCUCCGAACAUGGGGGACGAGGUGGUGAUGGCCGAGGUUCAUACGUCGGCCACCGAAGAUCGAGAGGUCCCAGACAAAGUUCAUGCCUCGGUCACCGAAACCCAAGAGGUUGGCCCCCUCCUGACGAGUGGGGAGGGGGGCCGUGAUUCUUCUCAGCUUCCUCCGGAGGUAGCUCCAGGGACCUCUGAUCCUCUGAUGUCUUCAACGUUGCUUCUGAUGCCGCCUACGACAGAAGGGCUACGACCGAGUGGCCUGCAAUGAUGGAGGAGGCUUUAUCCAGCUCAUCCAUUGCCGAUGAACAUCGCACCCUUAUGGGUGCAAUCCUACAAAGCAUUCAGUCCGUUGACUGUGGACUGAAGGGAGCCUUCAGCGGUUUGCUGGCAGGCUUCAAGGUAAACCAUGUAGUGUUAGAUUUAUUUAUAAGGUUCUACAUGCCUUAUAGGUAUGACAGCCCCCAAGCCAUGGGUGAGUUGAAACACUUACCCAUGGAUGAAAAGAACUUAUAGACAUGAAUAAAAAUAGUUCGGGGACCCUUGAACUAUAAUAACUCAGGGAGGGGGGGUACUUUGACCAAAUGUCCUAGUCCCGUUAGCUCGGAUGCUUGUCAAUCCAGAACUUGUCUCGCAGGCCUCGUCCUUGGUUGUGGCCACCAACACCCUUGAACUUUCCGAACUAGACCGAAAACUCAAGGUUUCCGAUGAAGAACUCAGCCGUCUUAAUAGUAGGCUCGACGAGAAGCAGGGUAAGCUUGAUGUGUGCCAGUAAGACUCUUGUUGUACUUAACAAUUUAGUACUGUCUGGCUUUGGUAUAUGACAUAUUUAUUCCGAUUAUGUUAGCAUCUAUGGACGUGGAGUUAGAGAAACUCAAGGCCGAAUUGGAAAAGGCCAAGCAGGAGGCUGUCGCGCAUAAGAUGGUGGCCGAGCAGACAACUGCUGAACUAAGCUCGUUGAAGGUUGAGAGCAGCGGGCACAAGACUAGAGUGGCCGAGGUCUAUCAGGAGCUUCAAGAUGCGAGCGCUAAGAGCGAGGCCUUGGAACAAAAAUCCAAAGAACAAGCGGCCGAGCUAUCGGAGUUGUCCUCCGAGCUCAAUCAGAGCGGUUAGAGAGGCGCUUUUUCAAAGAAGAAGUGCGCCAAGCCAAGAAUAUUGCAGAUGGUAAGCCAUACUUACUGCAAUGUGCCUUUGGUGGAAACAUGUUUGCCUUUCUUACAUGGCUAUGGCGUUCCCCAGUCGGCUUUACGGACCUCCUGUGGAGUGCAGCACACACGGCCAAGCGCUAUGCGGCCCAAGAAGGGGACACCGAGCAGAGGCUUUUCUGGGCACAGUUUCAGACUCCCGAGCCCAAGCCCCUUCUCGUCUACUAGAUGAAAUAGCUCAUGGAGUUGCACAGGAUGGCAGAGCUGGCCAUGAAGGACCUCUGCAUCCGGUUGUGGCCUGCCAAGCCUCUUCCAAGCAGUUACUUCAGCUUAGUGCGGAAGUUGUACAACGACGUGCGUCAAAUCGAGGCCCUGAAGCGCUCUGUUUGCAUAGAGGGAGCUCGGAUGGCUUUUGCGAGGACCAUGAUGCACAGGCCAGGGGAGAAUCCCCUUACGAUGGCAACCGCACCUCCGCCUCUUGGAAAGGAGCACAGGCGUCCAAAGCUUUAUUUCUCUACCGCAGCGGAGGGUGCUCGGGCCAUAGAACUUUGGAUUUUUGUUCGAAGGCCUCGCUCUUGGUGCUCGCAUCUUGAAGCUCGGGUAAUUUUUGAGUGAGGAUAUCGUUGUCUGCCUUGGAACAAUUUAUUAUUAUGAAGCUUGUCCCACUGUAAUGCACUUUGUAUUAUUUUGACUGUUGUGUGGCCGUUUAAUCUCAAAGUUUCCAGUCGUCGGCUUCAUCCCCCAUGUAAAGACUACAAGGGGUGUUUCGACAUCUGCACUGUGACCCUUAGCCGAUAUAUCGGUGCCGGAGGCGGUAGUGUGUGAAGGAAAUGAGGGAAUCGGACUAUGCGACUUUAGUGCUUUCACUUAGCCUUAGGAGCUUGAAUUCGAGGGCUGACUACGAGUCUCCAUUUUUUUGUGGUAGUGGGAUGAACCAGAUUUUGAGACAUUUACCACAAGGUUUGCAAAGAAACAAACACCUCUAUAUGACACGGAAUAAAACCUCCAUCGGUCUUUCGUACUUAAGCUCGGAUUGCAGACCAGUUCUCGCUUAUUAUGACAGUCAGUUUUCGGCUUUCUCCACUGAGGUAUUUUAGCCAGGCUAGUUGGGAAUACAAUCGCAGUGGUUCUCCCUUUACCCCUUUAGCUGAACCAGUAGAACAUAAGGGGGUAAGAACAGGAGCGGGGCAACCCAAUUAUCGACCCAAGACAUGAUUCUGAACCGAUGCAUAUAAAGCAAUAUCAUAGAAACCGAACACUUAAAAAGUAGUGAUGGGGUAGUGCUCGGGGAAGUACUUUCAUCCAAGCCCCUGUCUAUUAGCCCAUCGCACUUGAUAUUUAUUGAACAAUUUUACCCAUCGACGCCAAUGAGCAGGAAACAUAUAUAUGUAAAGAUACUGUAAAAGAGUAUAUAAAUAGUAUUUGCUAGGAAUUUUUAUAAUUUGUGGCACCAAGGUAGUUGUUAUAGGUAACUAUUGUUUUGAACAACAUAUUUCAAAGCAACUUUCUUCCACACGACCUUCCAAGGGUGACUUGACGUUCGCCCUGCUUCUAGCUGCACAAUUUCUCCUAUGCUUUCUAUAAGGGAGGGGUAGUAUCCUUUAAUGGUGGUUGUUUUCUACAAACGGACCUUGAAUAGAUGGUCUUGAAAAGCUGUCGUGGUAUGGGUGAGCUUGAUGCUUGGGAGAUCCUUAAUGGUAUCUCAUUUUUUGUCCGUGAAUACGUUUGGACGUAGUUUGGUCGAACCGAACAUAUGGUCCUUGGUAGUGGAUCCCCACAGCUGCCCAUGGUAUUUUGAGAAUGAAAUUGUGUCUACGAGGGACAUACCUUAUGGGUGACCGGGCCAUGCCAUGGGGAGCGUAUCCCUAUUUUCUUUGAGACAGAGAUAUCUCCGGGGGAUCCGAUUGAGCUCGGGCUCGCUUGCUCGCCUACCACGCCUUGAUGGCUAGCUUGUGUCGUGCUGCUUCUUUUUUGUAUUAGCAUUCAGCUGCCAAGGUCGCUGUGUGCUCCUCGGUACGGAGGGAGCGUUCUGUGUUGUCGUUGAUGGUGAUAACUCCCCUGGGUCCGGCCAUUUUGAGCUUUAGGUAGGCGUAAUGGGGAAGAGCGUUGAAGCGGGCGAACACCGUGCGGCGGAGUAGUGGGUGAUACCUGCUGUAGAAGGUGACGAUGUUGAAGAUUAAGUCUUCGAUGCGGAAGUUGUAGGUCAGCCGAACACAACCUCCAGCAUUACCGUGUCGGAGCAGCGGGAUCACUCCUUUGAAGGUAGUGUUGCUGGGUUUGAUUCUUGAUGGGUCUAUGCCCAUCUUAUUUGUCGUAUCUGAGUAAAUCAGGUUAAGGCUACUUCCUUCGUCCUUAAGGACUCUAGUGUGGUGGUACCCAUAUAUGAUGAGGUCUACAACAAGGGCGGCCAGCCCUCCAUGACUGAUACUGGUCGGAUGAUCCCUACGGUCGAAGGUGAUCGGGAAAGCCGACCAUGGGUUGCACAUCGGGGUUAUGGGCUCUAUGGCAUAUACCUCCCAAAGGGCUUGCUUCGUCUCCUUCUUUGGUAUGUGAGUAAUGUAUAUCAUAUUCACGGUUUUCACCUCUAGGGGAACUGUUUUUGGCCCGAGUUGUUCGGAACGCGGGCUCUUCAUCAUCCUCGUUUCGUGGGCCCUUGCCUUGUUCGUCGGUUGCUACUUUGCCAACCUAUUUAAACACUCAACAGUUACGAUUUGUGUGGGUGGCGGUCUUGUCUUGGGUGCCAUGGAUCUAGAGAGGCCUUUACAUAAUACUAUCUAAUGUAGUCAGUCCAUUCCUGUUCCAUUUAAAUGGUUUCUUUCGCUGUCCGGGUUUUGAGCUGCGGAAGCCAGCAUUUAGGGUUGUGUCAACGGCGUCACCUUUACGGUGGCGGAGUUUGGUCUUGUUUUUCCUUGGCUUGCCAUUUCCAUCCUGAACUUUAGAGGUACCGGGGUCGUCCGCAUUAUGGUCGCGCCGAGCUAGAAAAUUGUCCUUGCCCGCGCAAAAGCGGAACAUGAGGGAAGUGAGAGCGGACAUUUUAUCGGCCUAUCCUCGCCGACCUGGCGAGCCAACCAUUCGUCCUGGGUAUUGUGCGUGAAGGAGGUUGUCGCAUUGUCAUCCGGACAAUCCACGAUCUAGUUCUUCUUUGUUAGGAACCUAUUCGAGAAUCCUAUGGCCGAUUCGCCCGCGUUUUGGAUGGCGUUGCUUAGGUUGGAGGAAUCCGGUGGUCGAACGUAAGUUCCCUGAAAAUUAGACAGGAAGGCUUCUUCAAGGUCUUACCAACAUCCGAUGGAAUUUUCAGGUAAGCUAUUUAGCCACUACCGUACUGGCCCUUUCAGCUUUAGGCGUAGUUACUUGAUGGCGUGGAGGUCAUCUCCCCUGGCCAUAUGAAUGUGGAGAAGGAAAUCUUCUAUUCACACGGCGGGGUCCGUAGUCCCGUCGUAUUGUUGUAUGUUCAUGGGUUCAAACCCUUCCGGGAAUUGGUGUUGCAUGACCUCAUUUGUAAAGCACAAUGGGUGGGCGACGCCUCUGACCCAGGCUAUACUGUGCCAGCGAUCGGCUGUUGGUUUUGCUCGGUACGAUUCUCGAUCUCUAUUGAUGUGGGUAAACCAAGGUUGGUCUCCGUCCCAUCGAGUGGGAGAGUACCUUCUAGAUCCAUACAUGGACCUAUUGCGACCUGUUCUGUUGUCCAAGUCGUGACGUAGGUCAUGUCUACCCCUGGGUUGCACAUGAUCCUUUCCCUUCCUGCUGGGAGGCUCGGGUCCAUACUCGGCUUCUCCGGCCGCUCUGUCACGCCCUCGAGGUUGGCAAUCGGGCUGAUCAUACUGGGUGCGCCUGGGGGACACGGGCUCUCGGGCCUCGUCAUCGAACUGAGGCAGCACGCGUCGGCGUGGGUACCUUUUGUUCUGAUCUAGCCACUCGGUGCCAUAUCCUUCUUUAUUUGCCAAUACUUUUGUCCAUCUAUUGUUUAUGGUGUCAUGUUUGGCUUGGAGCCGCUGUUGCUUCGCUUGGAGGCUGCGGGCGAUAGCUACGAGUUGUUGCUUGAACCGUUCCUGACCCUCAAGGUCCUCGAGAACUAUGAAGUCUUCGGCCUUUAUACUAUCUUUCGCGUCAUCACGAGGGAGGUAGUUGUCAUCAUCUGAAUCAUCGGGGUCGUCGGGAUCGGAUUGGCCCUCGGGCUUGUUCGGGAGCUCCGAGGUUGUCGGGGGUCCUCUGGGGUUGUAUUUUCCCCGGUGCCAUCUAUGGCCCCACUUACUUUGUUUGCCUUGGCUUGUUUACGCUACCUCUGGCGCUUUGAUUGCUUUUCCCUAGACUUAUCGUCAUUUUGUUUGGGGGUAUGAUCGCCAUUGUCGUCGGGUGUGUCCACCAUGUAGACGUCGUAAGUGGAGGUGGCAGCCCACCGCCCGGUAUUUACAGGGGCGGGGUCACCGGCCACAUCAUCCAUGUCUUCAACCUCCUCGAAGGCGUAAUCCAACAUGUCGGUUAAGACUUCGACGGUGGCAACCAAGUGGGUGGUGGGUGGGCUGUGAACUUCCUCAUAAUCCGCAUCCAAACUGAUCCGACUAUAGGUCGGGCUCGGGCCAUCCAUAGUUUUCAAUGACUGGAUCUGGUCAAGCGUCUCAUUUAACAUCGAGAGGUUGUCCUGGUCGAUUUCUUGAUGAUUUUAGGAGUUGACCUCCGUUUCUUCCGUGAGGGACGGGUAUUCAGGAAUGGCUGUUGCCUGGGUACUGAGAUUGGGUCCGGGCUCAAAGACAACUCUCUGACAAAGAGGGAACCGAGGUCAUGGCCGGGCAAGAGACCCGAAGUCAAGGCUUCAGGAUUUUGGGGUUCAUCGCACGAAGCCAUGAUCUUAGCAGGGAAAAGAUCUCCCGAGGAGUCGCUCAAGAAUUCAAGAUUCUCGAACCUUAUCUCCUGACUGGGGACGAAGCCUCCGAUCUAGCCAAGGCGGCCGAUCGGGUCGGCGCGCAGCGUGACGCUGCCGAACGCGAGAACCUGCCUUGGAACAAAGAUGUCCCUGUUUCCAAUUCGAUCGCUGAUGAUUACACGAGCCAUCAAUCCUUCCGGUGAACUAACAGGAGAACUCUCAAUGAAAGCACCAUUGUCGGUGUCAAAACUGGCGGAUCUCGGGUAGGGGCUCCUGAGAUGUGAACCUUGUAUGGAUGGGUUACACGGCACAAAGAGGACAAUGUUUACCCAGGUUCGGGCCCUCUUGAGGAGGUAAAACUCUAUGUCCUCCAUGAUUAUAUUGAUAUGUAUGAGGAUUAAAGAGUUGACCUACCUUGAGAUCGUAUGAGCUAAAACCCUAGAUGAGUCAACUUGUCUAUGAGGAUGAAACCCACUUGUUUAUAUAGACACCACGGGUUCCUCGGGUUAUAUACAACCGACCUCCAGCCGGGGAUAGAUGCGUCGAUCUGGAGUACUCAACUUGGAUGACACACCAGUCUUCGGAGCUUUCCUUCUUGAACACGAGGUCGUCACGUAGUCCGGUCUUCAACAAUAAGGCCCAUUAGGUCGGCCUCUAAUAAAUGAAUCGACCGCCCGAGGACUCCUUAGUCCCGGACUCCCCCAGUGGUGCCUAGUGGGGAGCCCUUAAGUCGGAUGAGGAUCUUCUUCGGGCACAAGAAAGCUAAUUUACGGAUAAAUUCCCUCAAAAUUCCAGCACGAUCGGAGUUAAGGAUCUCCAAGAAUUUAAGAAACAGUGAAGGGCAAGAAAACGAGAACGCCAAACAGAACAGAACAGAGAGGGAGAUCCAAUAUCAGAGGGGCUCUUGCCCCUCUGCAGCCAUGGAGGCCAUGGACCAGAGGGAGAACUCUCCUCCCAUCUAGGGGGGGCAAGGAAGAGGAGGGAGGGGGCUCUCAACCCCUCUCUUACGGUGGCACCGGAGUGCCACCGGGGCAAGGAGUGUGACGAUGAUCUACAUCAGCAAGCUUGCCGCCGUCAACACCAACUCCCCCCUCUAUGCAGCGGUGUAAGACCUCUUUUCCCGAUGUAACUCUCUAUUUAAACAUGGUGCUCAACACUACAUACUAUUUGCCAAUGAUACGUGGCUAUUCUAUAAUGUUUGAAUAGAUCCGUUUUGUCCUGCGGGUUAAUUGUGAUAUGAUUUUAUUGUGUUUAUAUGAUGUUGUCCUAAGGUGCCUUCUGUGAGGCGCACACGCGAAGGAUACAUGCUGGAGGGUUUGCAUUAUGUUCAUGAUUCGCUUAUAGUGGGUGGCGAGAGUGACAGAAACUUACAACCGAGUAAGGGAGUUGUCCGCACAUGGGAGUAAAGAGGACUUGAUGUUUAAUGCUAUGGUUGGGUUUACCUUAACGAUUUCUAGUAGUUGUGGAUGCUUGCUAGAGGUCUAAUCAUAAGUGCAUAUGAUCCAAGUACGGAAAGUGUGUUAGCAUAUGCCUCUCCCUCAUUGCACAUGAUAAGUAUCUAUCAUGUUAGAGGUCCAAUCAUAGUUUCAUACUUGUUCUAGGUAAAGUAAGUGUUUGCACGCAUAGAGUUGUAUCGAUGGUCGAUACAACUUGAGAGAAUAUUAGUUCUACCUUUAGCUCCUUGUUGGGUUCGACACUCUUGCUUAUCAAAAAGGGCUACAAACGAUUCCCUACACUUGUGGGUUAUCAGUGAGUAUCCUGGCGACACGAAGGCGAGCACAUGACUGGUGGCGACCUCGAUGAUCGCUCGGGUCAGAGAUGCCUGUGGCAUGGUCUCAUGUCCGUCCUCGUCAAGGACAAUGAUGUCGUUCCCCGGAGGUGGAAUUUCUUCAACAUGUGCGAUGGGGUCAAUGUGCAACAUUUCUACUUACGAACUGGCAUGCAUCCAGUCGGUCACCACCGGCACGAGAGGCAUGAAGUACAGCGCAGCUGGCUCAAGGGCCUGCACCGACAGUUGCAUGAAGGGUUGCAUAACCGGCUCUAGGGCCUGCAAUGGCAUGCUCUCAACACUAAUUUGGUGGUGGUAACAAUGACCUCGGUGACGCUGGUUCCAACCUCCAUCGAAGAGGCGAAGGUCGCACACUCGAUACUAGAAGCGGCGGAGUCUGCCAACACCAUGGCGGAGGUGGUGAGCAACGAAACGGCGGCAACGGUCAUCAUUAUGAAGAAGGCGAAGAAACGGAGAAAUCAUCUUUCGCCUCUAGUUCAUGUCGAUCUUGUUCUCUGCCGGGAAGAUUUUUCUCUAUUGAAAAGUGAUGUGUGUGAUAAUGUGCUAAAAGAAACAAAGAGCAAACUAGAGACAAAUAAAAAGAAUGAACAUAUGUAAUAUUUAUUGAUCAUGUUCAUGUAUACAUGCAAUCGGCACGAAAGCAUCCAAGAGAUGCGUCCAUUGGUGAAGGCGUCAAUCGAAAGGAGCAACCGACGCACAAUUGCAAAAAAUGGCAACCACACACAUGUUGCGGGAAUGUAGGGAUUCCUCUAACUAACCAUUGAGGUUAAUUUGGCUUAACACUCUGAAUUGCAUCACGUUUCUACCAUUAUUGUGCCGAAGUGCUAGGAUUUUGUCGUGGUUGUUCUCACAGUGAGGGUGCUCCUACUUGGCAAGGUACUAAGACUUGUUUCUUUUGCCUACAUGACAAGUCUAUUAAACACCUAUGUUAACUUUGAUGGUAGGUUUAAUCAUGCAACAUAGGCCAUAAAUCAAAUAGAUUCAAAACCUUACACCUCCCCCAUGUAGUGUGUGUAAUAUGUUCGACAACUCGCGACGGGGUGCCGACAAACAUUUUUCUGCAUGUAUUCUUGUGGGACUGCCAACAUUUAUGUUGGACUUUUGUUUCAUCAUGGAUGUCCAUGUAAUCUUCAGAUAAGAUCUAACCCAUCUUCCCAUGCAAGUAUCUCGGCCUUUCACUAUCCAUAAGGAAGCUCACGACGGCACAAUAUCAAGGCCUUGUGGAUCAUCUCGUAGCGCGCCUACCAUCUUGGAAGUCAGCAGGCCUUCCCAAGAGCGAUCACUUAUUGCUGGUACAAUCCGUUCUCUCGACAAUCCUGAUCCACUCAAUGUUGGCCCUUGAUCUGGCUCUAAAGACUUUGGUUGCCCUAAUCAAGAUAUGCCGCAAAUUCCUUUGGGUCGGCAAGGCAGAUGCGCGAGGAGGUGCAUGUGCGAUGGCCUGGGAGAGAGUGUGCACUCCUAGGUGCGUCAGACGCCUAGGUAUCCUUGACAUGUGAUGGAUGAAUGUGGCCCUUCGGGCCAAGUGGUUGUGGUUGAGUAGGUCUGACCAGGAUAAGCCUUGGUCGGAGUUCGCUUUCUCUGUGCCAAAGGAGUCCCGACAGUUAUUCCUGGCAGCGGUGCGAGGAGUCGUUGGCGAUGGGAGGAAUACAUUAUUCUGGGAGGGUAGAUGGCUUAGUGGUUACCGGAUGCAGGAGCUUGCGCCACGGAUUUGCGAGCAGAUUCCAGUAAGAACGAGGAGGUCAAGAACGGUGUAUGAGGCAAUCGUUGAGGAGAGAUAGGCCCGAGAUAUUGGGCCAGCGCUAGGCGAGGCAACCCUUGCGAAGUACCUGGGUAUCUGGCCCGGGGUUGCGGUGGUCUAGCUGGACGAGCAAUGUGAUGAUCGUUUCAUCUGGUUCUGUGAGAAGAACAAGAAGUUUUCGGCCAAAUCUGCCUAUGCAGCCAAGUUUGCAGGGCGAGAAGUCUCGCCCAUCUUGGAAUUCACAUGGCACUCACGGACCUCGCUUAGGUACAUAUUAAUUCUUCUCAUGGCUAGCAAUCAUGAACUGGUGCUGGACUUCAGAUAGAUUGGCACGAAGAGGCAGCCACACCAACACUCGUGCCCUUUUUGCAAUCAGCAUGAUGAGACGAUUGGCCAUCUACUUAUCGAGUGUCCUCUCCCACGGGAGGUAUGGGCAAAGUUCUUCUCCGCCCAAGGUAUUCUGCAUGGCGAGCCGCAACUAGGAGAGACACUGCACGGCUGAUACACUAGGCAGGGUAUGCAGGGAAAAAGUGCCAAGAUGGUUUGGACCAUAUGCCCCCUUGCCAUGUGGGAAAUAUGGAAGCAUAGAAAUGCCAUAGUCUUUGACGGAGAGAUGGCCUGCCCACGACAUGUUCUACGCUGGACCGCGAGUUAUAGCAUGGUGUGGAUGCAGACGGCUCUACUUCGAGGAAACCUGCAGGCAUUCUUCGUGGCAGCGCUGGAAUGGGCGCAUAGUGAGUAGUGUGUAUAACAUACUUGAGGUGGAGGGCGGCGUAACGCCAUGUAACCCCUGAUGUAACUAAACUGCGGAGGGCUCCCCCCUCUCCUUCCUUCUAUAAUAUAUGAUACGCACACUCGUGCGUAUUCGAUGAAAAAAGAAUCUAACCCAUCUUAGGCUGAUUUUUUUUUCUGCGAAACAAUAUUUUCUUUUGGUUAUGUUAAUAGUCUUAACUGUGUGCAUCAUCACGUUUUGCAGCAGUCAGACAUUUGUUCAAUGUGAUUGUAUCACCUUGAUAUAUCGAUUGAAUGAAAUUGUCUUUUAUUAGUAAAAAAUAGUUGUAUUGAAGUCAUCAUAACUUAAUCCCAUGGGGUAGAUGGUUAAAUGUUUUCACUUAACAAAAUAAUUUCUAGUGUGCCCAUAACUAGUGUAAUAGAUGGACAGAAAUAAAUAGACUGGAAAUGCCAUGAACAAGCCAUGAAUAGAAAAGGUUGGGUUUAUCUACAUCAGUUAUCAGUUUAGUGUGUUCUAUGUACUUGACAAUCCAAGAAUUAGCAAUAGAGCCCUCUGUAUUAAGAGUAUAUUUCAGUCAGUCCUCAACUGCUGUCCAUGUUAUUUACUAGUUCCGGUAGUGAUCUUAAGCAUCGUCUAUAAACUAUUACUUAGUCUAGACGUCCCUAUAGAGACCUAUCGGACAUCAAAGAAAAUCCAUUUUAAAGGAUACGCGGAUAGACUCGGUAAACCGCCGACAAUGAAGUGGCACCAACAAAUAUUUUAGUUUUAUAAAUCUGAAAGGAAUGUAUCUUUUCGAUAAAGGUCUGAAAAAGAAAAUAGGUACCUAUACUCAUCCAUGCAUAGGCAAGAAGUUUUCUUUAUGUGAAGCAUAUCUCUGAAAGGGCUUAUAAUAAUUUUGCUUGUGCACCUCAUACAACUCUACCUAAUAUAUACAUAUUCUCAAAUUUGUAAGAUAUCACUGACUUCUCUCAACCAUUGAAUAGGUCAUCAUUUUUCUUAACUUGCACGCAAUGUCCACGAAUUGAGUAAGCAUAUGCAUAACUAAGAGUCUACGCUGUUUCAUGGAGCCUAUCACAAACGACUGAAUGUUUAGUGGAAAAAUCUCUUGGGUGGAAUCCUAAACCCCUUGAAAAAUAUACUGAAAAAUAUAAUGGCAAUCACCAUGGGGCGUCGGCAGAUCACAGUCAUUAUAAUAACCGCUUGUACACCCAAAUACAACUCUACCUGGUAUAUGCAUAUUCUCAAAUUCGUAAUAUAUCACUGACUUCCCCACCGUCGAAUAGGUCACCAUUUUUCUUAACGUGCACACAAUGUCCAUGAAUUGAGUAAGUGUAUGGGUAACUAAGAGACCGCACUGUUACACAUAGCUUAAUCACAAACGGCUAAAUAUUUAUUGGGAAAAUCUCUUGGGUGGAACCCUAAACCCCUUGAAAAUCUAUUAUAUAAUUAAAACAAAAGACAAACAAGCCAUAUGUGUUCCCAUACAUUGAAUUAUCUUGACCGUAUUUUUAAAUAAUAACACAUGUGAUUUAAAAUAUGUAUUGUUACAUAUAAAUUUUAUCAUGAGCAAACAGUUUAUAGUGUCACGUAGCUCAUACUAAUAGUUCAAUAUGUCUCGAGUUCUUAAAGAAAAACUGGCAUGUCACUAGAAAUCAGUCUGAUACCUUAGGAUCUUUUUUUGCGGGUAAAACUGGGAAGCUUUAUUCAACACACAUCAUCCGGGCAUGAUCUUCGAGGAGACUAGUUAGAAGAAUAAUAGGACUAGAGUUCAACCAGCAAUCCGUUACCUCCAAUGUGCUAGCUUGCUUAGAACAUAAGUGGGCACACGUGCUAGCUGAUUUUGCAACAUUUUGAAUGAAAUACAAACUAAACAGUAAGGCGAGCUCUCCAUCUUAGUUAAGAUAUGCGUCAGCACAGUCCGAGUAUUGAGGCACGAAUACCAGAGAUUGACAAUCUUCAAACAAUCUGUCGCCACAACGACCUUCUCGUGACCCCGAAGCUUUGAAAAGAGGACCCCGUCUCGAACAGCCAAAGCUUCAGCGACAAACGGAUCGCUAAAACCAGGGUACGGUUUAGACCAAGCAGGCAUGAAGGAGGAACAGGCUCGGACAACACCACCCACCCCACCCACCCCUGCUAGCCUCCAUAGCGUGCUUCCAUCUGUAUUGAUCUUCAUGAUUCCUUAGGUUGAUAUAGAAAAUAAGAAGUACCUUACCUUGAAUUGGCAAAGCAUGACAACCAAGAGUAUUCGGCAGCCAAGUCCAAUUUAGAAAGAAAGAGAAAAAACUACCUUAUGUAGGGAGGAGCACCAAGUGAACUACCUUAUGUAGGGAUGAGUCAUGAGCAAACACCCCUACCCCACAACAAAGAAGUGUCCGCAUCUCAAAAAAUUAGGAGUGUCCCAGCAAAAUAUGCGUGCUAAUCUCUCUAGGGAAAAAGAGAAGACGUGUGUGCUCCUCCUUUUUCUGCGGACACAAAAAAAAAAGUACGGAGUCCUGCUUAGUUCACUUAGUGCUCCAGUACUUGGGGAUAAGAAAUCUUUCUCUACGCAGAUUGAAGAAUAUAUCUCAUAAAAAAUGAAAAUUAGUUGUUUAUACAUAUACUAAAUCGUGGAUGAAAAAAUGAGGCGACAUACCUGAUUGGCAUAAUACAUUUUUUUAUGCUAAAUUAGUUCUGCACUAUGAUAUUAGCUGUAUUAAAUCAUGGAUGGACAACUGAGACACGAAAUACGAAAUACAUAAAGAUAAAAGUGCCAGCAUUUUAUAUUCUUUCUCUCAAAAAGUUACUGAUAACCAUAGUGGCUGUUCUAAUUUGAAUCGCUGAGAUCCAAAAAUAAAUAGAAAGAAAUCAUGCUUGCAAGUGAUUCAGUAUAAAUUAAGUAUUCCUCAUGAAAAAAUAAUACGUCAUGAGAAAGACCACGUGAGAGCAUCUGCAGUGAAAUGCAUAAGAAAAAUAAUGCACGUGAAAGCAUCUGUAGUGAACCUAUUUACAAAAAUUGACCACUAACAUAUGCAAAAGUAUCCGGGUUGGACAAUUAAAAAUAACAAAGAACGUUGUACUGACUACAUAAUAAUAAUUAUUCACUAGUGGGGACAGGGUCUAUAGUCCCGGCCCGUAAGGGGCUUUAGUCCCGGUUCACCAACCGGGACCAAAGAGGCGGAACUAAAGGCCUAACCUUUAGUCCCGGCCCUGUUCCAAGCCGGGACCAAAGGUGCUCCAUGUGGGCGCCUCGGAGCGCCCUCACGGGCAGGCCCUUUAGUCCCGGGUCUUAACACGGACCGGGACUAAAGAGUUUCUUCAGAUUUUGUUUGUUUUAGGGUUUUAGGGUUUUAGGGUUUAGGUGUUCGGGAGAUUAACGUGAUGCCUCGUUUGGCAUUCGGGAAUUAGUUUUCAUAUAAUUCUAAAUAUACAUGUUUAUGUAUAUAUAUAAGAUUAACUUAUCUUACAAGCGAGCAUAUAUAUACAAUUAUAUGGAGAUCUGAAUUAUCGGGACUAGAGCCCGUUUAUUUAAUUCCAUGGACCAACAUCAGUAAUGGCCCCUAGCUACACUAAAUCAUCCUUUGUCAUCUAUAGCUUCCGUCCUCAGAAAGGUCGCAAGCUCCUCUACAACAGCAAUCGCGCGUUGCUCUGGUAGGUACUUCUCCCUCAUGGCCGUGUACUAUAUAAGAAGAGGAGAUGAAUAUGAAUAUCAAUAAUGAUAACAAAGAAUGGCGGGUAAAAAUAGAGGUGUGAAUGUUCAUUGCUUACGUCGUAUCUAUAAUCCUUGUGCUCAGAGGUAAACGUGCGAAUGGUCUCGCAAACAUAGUAUCCGCAUAGAUGCGUCCCCCGUGGCUGCUGGUCGCACUUUACGAGAAUAGAAUAUAAAUAAUCAAAAUAAUAAUCUAGCAUCAUAAAUGUAUUGAAAAUAGAAGUAUAUCAUACUACUACUUACCUGAGGCGCUCUAAAGGUCAGCUUCUCAUGCUCGAUACCGGGAGUCACACACUUGAACCGCUUCCAAACCCUGUCCGACAAGGAAAAUGAUUUGCUAAGUUUUUCAUUAAUUGAUAUAUCAUAAAAUCAUCGAAAGAGACCGAUAGAGCGCAAGAAUGAUUGAAAUUACCCUUGGAGCAUUUCCUGCAGGCUUUGGAACUGUUCGAAGGGUCUCGAUAAUGGGUCGAAGGCAUCAACUCUUCCCUUAUCAAUUUGAAUGUCCAACAGAAUCCAAUGGUAGCUACACAUGUAUAUAUAUAUACAUGUGUAGCUACCAUUGGAUUCUGUUGGACAUUCAAAUUGAUAAGGGAAGAGUUGAUGCCUUCGACCCAUUAUCGAGACCCUUCGAACAGUUCCAAAGCCUGCAGGAAAUGCUCCAAGGGUAAUUUCAAUCAUUCUUGCGCUCUAUCGGUCUCUUUCGAUGAUUUUAUGAUAUAUCAAUUAAUGAAAAACUUAGCAAAUCAUUUUCCUUGUCGGACAGGGUUUGGAAGCGGUUCAAGUGUGUGACUCCCGGUAUCGAGCAUGAGAAGCUGANNNNNNNNNNNNNNNNNNNNNNNNNNNNNNNNNNNNNNNNNNNNNNNNNNNNNNNNNNNNNNNNNNNNNNNNNNNNNNNNNNNNNNNNNNNNNNNNNNNNNNNNNNNNNNNNNNNNNNNNNNNNNNNNNNNNNNNNNNNNNNNNNNNNNNNNNNNNNNNNNNNNNNNNNNNNNNNNNNNNNNNNNNNNNNNNNNNNNNNNNNNNNNNNNNNNNNNNNNNNNNNNNNNNNNNNNNNNNNNNNNNNNNNNNNNNNNNNNNNNNNNNNNNNNNNNNNNNNNNNNNNNNNNNNNNNNNNNNNNNNNNNNNNNNNNNNNNNNNNNNNNNNNNNNNNNNNNNNNNNNNNNNNNNNNNNNNNNNNNNNNNNNNNNNNNNNNNNNNNNNNNNNNNNNNNNNNNNNNNNNNNNNNNNNNNNNNNNNNNNNNNNNNNNNNNNNNNNNNNNNNNNNNNNNNNNNNNNNNNNNNNNNNNNNNNNNNNNNNNNNNNNNNNNNNNNNNNNNNNNNNNNNNNNNNNNNNNNNNNNNNNNNNNNNNNNNNNNNNNNNNNNNNNNNNNNNNNNNNNNNNNNNNNNNNNNNNNNNNNNNNNNNNNNNNNNNNNNNNNNNNNNNNNNNNNNNNNNNNNNNNNNNNNNNNNNNNNNNNNNNNNNNNNNNNNNNNNNNNNNNNNNNNNNNNNNNNNNNNNNNNNNNNNNNNNNNNNNNNNNNNNNNNNNNNNNNNNNNNNNNNNNNNNNNNNNNNNNNNNNNNNNNNNNNNNNNNNNNNNNNNNNNNNNNNNNNNNNNNNNNNNNNNNNNNNNNNNNNNNNNNNNNNNNNNNNNNNNNNNNNNNNNNNNNNNNNNNNNNNNNNNNNNNNNNNNNNNNNNNNNNNNNNNNNNNNNNNNNNNNNNNNNNNNNNNNNNNNNNNNNNNNNNNNNNNNNNNNNNNNNNNNNNNNNNNNNNNNNNNNNNNNNNNNNNNNNNNNNNNNNNNNNNNNNNNNNNNNNNNNNNNNNNNNNNNNNNNNNNNNNNNNNNNNNNNNNNNNNNNNNNNNNNNNNNNNNNNNNNNNNNNNNNNNNNNNNNNNNNNNNNNNNNNNNNNNNNNNNNNNNNNNNNNNNNNNNNNNNNNNNNNNNNNNNNNNNNNNNNNNNNNNNNNNNNNNNNNNNNNNNNNNNNNNNNNNNNNNNNNNNNNNNNNNNNNNNNNNNNNNNNNNNNNNNNNNNNNNNNNNNNNNNNNNNNNNNNNNNNNNNNNNNNNNNNNNNNNNNNNNNNNNNNNNNNNNNNNNNNNNNNNNNNNNNNNNNNNNNNNNNNNNNNNNNNNNNNNNNNNNNNNNNNNNNNNNNNNNNNNNNNNNNNNNNNNNNNNNNNNNNNNNNNNNNNNNNNNNNNNNNNNNNNNNNNNNNNNNNNNNNNNNNNNNNNNNNNNNNNNNNNNNNNNNNNNNNNNNNNNNNNNNNNNNNNNNNNNNNNNNNNNNNNNNNNNNNNNNNNNNNNNNNNNNNNNNNNNNNNNNNNNNNNNNNNNNNNNNNNNNNNNNNNNNNNNNNNNNNNNNNNNNNNNNNNNNNNNNNNNNNNNNNNNNNNNNNNNNNNNNNNNNNNNNNNNNNNNNNNNNNNNNNNNNNNNNNNNNNNNNNNNNNNNNNNNNNNNNNNNNNNNNNNNNNNNNNNNNNNNNNNNNNNNNNNNNNNNNNNNNNNNNNNNNNNNNNNNNNNNNNNNNNNCUCAUGCUCGAUACCGGGAGUCACACACUUGAACCGCUUCCAAACCCUGUCCGACAAGGAAAAUGAUUUGCUAAGUUUUUCAUUAAUUGAUAUAUCAUAAAAUCAUCGAAAGAGACCGAUAGAGCGCAAGAAUGAUUGAAAUUACCCUUGGAGCAUUUCCUGCAGGCUUUGGAACUGUUCGAAGGGUCUCGAUAAUGGGUCGAAGGCAUCAACUCUUCCCUUAUCAAUUUGAAUGUCCAACAGAAUCCAAUGGUAGCUACACAUGUAUAUAUAUAUAUAUAUGUGUGUGUGUCAAUAACUUAUCAAUUACACUUAUAAGUGAAUGGACACAACAGAGUAAAGACCCUCACUUGAAGUUGUAUGGAAACAGUAUGUGGUCACAGAAAUUUUGACCUGUUAGAAACCUUAGAAGGUUUUCCUCCGUCUCCUUGGGUUUAUCAGUUAGCGUCGCUAUAUUUAUUUUAUCUAGGUCAAUAAACCCAAUAUUUAGGAUGUUCCUACUUUUACAUUCCAGAAUCUUCAUUCUGCAUAAUAGAGUACAAGUUAUAUGUAGACAAUAAAUUAAAAUAACUAAACAAGUUAUAUGUAGACAACGAAUUGAAAAACUUACACACAAUAGCAACUCAUAAGCGAUUUGUCGAGGGCGUCGGCAUUGUACAUCUCGAAGAGUUCAUCAAAGUCGAUAUGGAUUUCUUCGGGGCGGCCGUAGCACUCCCGUGGGACACGCGCCACGAUCAUCGUUCUCCCAUUCUUUGAUUCACUUAAGUACCAUGUAUGCAAGUAACGCAUAUUUGUUGGGAGAUCAUCAAACUUAUCUUUGCUAACCAAAGGCGCUCCCAUGACAAACUGUGGCAUAGGGGCCACCAUAGCCUUGGGUAACCUGUCGUCUUGGGAAGCCAGAACGUCUUCAACCGGGAUACCCCAUUCAUCCGCCCACUUCUUUGCUAAUUCCAAAUCUUUCCCCUGCACCAGAGAGGGAACAUUCUCGGGUAACACCCUCAGGGGUAGGAUCGACUAUUUGGCCUGUUGUCCAAGCUGAGGAACGUCUGAUCUUUUUUUGCUUGUAGUUGAACUUGAUUUGCUCCCACUUGCACUUGCACGUGAUCUGCUCUUUUUCCCUUCCUUCUGCAAUGUGCGUGUAUAGUCAUCAGGCUUAUGGUGUAAGUCAUACUGUGAUGGAAGGGUCGUGAAGUAUUUUGCAUAUGUUAUUUGCUUCUCGGUGUAUUCCGGGCGGGGCUCGGGUUCCUUCUUUUUCAUCUGCGCAUCAUAAUGUACCUUUGCUAUCCUGGCAUUUUCCUCGUCGGUAUGAUCAUAAGGUCUGAUAGGAAGAUUAGCAUGAGGUACCUUUGGGAGGGGCGACAGUUUGGGCUUUGGGGAGCUCCAUCGCUUAGAACUCAUCGACGGAGCGUUCUUGCUGGCACGCUUCCGCUUAGUAUCCUUAGCGGGCGGCGGCGGAGACGGACGACCCAAGUCCGGCGGCGGUGAUCGAGAUGGACUCGUGUUGUGCUGGCCAUCGUCAUGUGGAGGGCUUGGAGGUGAUGGAGGUGUAGGUGACCUGCGACGACUCGGAGGCGGUGUUGUCCUUGGGGCCGAGCCUGGAAGCUUGAUGUAGUUCUUGUCCCAUAGGAUGACCCCACCCAGUACUUCUCCGAGUGUCCUCUCAUCUUCGGGUCCAGCUAUGUCGAGCUCCAUAUCAUGAAACCCCGCCAUGAUUUCAUCCAUCCCGACUUUAGCAAAGCCAGCUGGAAUCUCACGGCCAUGCCAGCGUGCAUCAGGGCCAGAAGGUAAAGCUUGUCCGAUGGCCACCUUCAUGGAUAUGUUCUUGAAUUUCUGAUGGAGUUCACAUGAUGUUGACUCCUUGAUUCCAUCCACGGGGUAGCCGGGACCGCCCUCUAUCAUUCUUCGUGCAUCGUUGGGCGGGGCCUCAGAUUCAGCCACGCUGCUUUUCCACUUAGAUGGGGCGCCGGUAAUAUCGAGCGCAGGAUCUUCCUGGCGCGCUACUCCUCUAAGCUCAUCAAUCUGCUUCUAUUGCUUGUUAAGCCUGGCAAGCAACUGGUUAAACUUGUCAUUCUCCUCAUCCUGCUGUCGCUUCUUUGCUCUCGCUCGGCUUCUGUAAGUGUCUUGGUCUCUGGGAAACCCAAGCCACCACGGGUAAGAAGGACCGAAGCCUCGCGUUCGUCCUCCAUGUUCGUCAUUGUCGAGGACCACUGUGAGAAAAUCUUUCUCUCUAUCUGCAGUGAACUGUCUUUUUCCCUCCUUAAUUUUUUCACUAUCUUUUUCCAAUUCUCCCUGGGUAUCCUAAGACCGUCACUGCAGAUGAGGUCCCCUGUUUCUUCGUCGUAUGAACCACCAUGCGCAAGGAACCAAUUUCUUGCUCUCAAUUCCCACUCAUCACGGAUGGGUUCAGGUAUGAUGCCUUUAGCUAGCAGAUCUUUCUCUUUCUUAUCCCACUUUCGGAUGGCAGACUCAUAGCCCCCUGGCCCCAGCGUGUGGUGAUAUUUCUUCUUGUCGGCAUUUUUCUUGUUCUUUUUUGAUAAUGCCUUGGCAUCUUCUGACUCCUUGUACUCUUGAAAUGCCUUCCAGUGAUUCGCCUGCUUGGCUAGAUACCCCUCGAAUACUGGCACUUUCUUUGUCUUCCGAUAGUUUUUCAUAGCUUCUUCUUCCAGCUACAGAACAGUUCGACCAUCUUCUUUAGAGUCCACUGCUUGACUUUGGCCAUCAGUUUGUCUGCGGCGUCUUCAUUCUCACAUUCUGACAGGUUGAAAUGUGACAUGAGAUCAUUCCAAAGAUUAUCUUUGUACCUUUCGGUGACAUAGUCACUAUCGGCUGCCCCUUUGCGCUUGUUGCACUCCCGAACGCUGAUCGGGACGUGAUCCCUAACGAGAACUCCGCAUUGCUUCUUGAAUGUGUCAGCAGCAUUCUUAGGAAGCUUGGGUUCGCCCGUAGGCAAUAUCACCUCAAAGGUGUAAUGCAUCCGUGCAUCCAACUUUUUAGUCGGGCCUCGUUUCGUAGCUUUGCUCGAUGUGGAGGCUUAAGAGGGAGAAACAUUCGUCAAAUGAAUGUAUAUGUAUACAAUAUAGAGCUAUCUCCAAUAUUUUUCACAUAUUACAAGUGAUUGUCGAAGUUCAUAUGUAUACCUCGCCGGACUUUAUUAGUUCUCCACCGGCUUCUCCAUCAGUGGAGCUAUCACCUUCUCCAUCAUUGGAGCUAUCUCCUGCCCCAUCGGCUUCAUCUUCGUGUCCGUCGACUUCCAUUCCAUAUCCGGAGGGGUUUAGAUAUGACGACGGAGAUUCAGCUGGUUCAACGUCGGGGCCGUCUUUGAUUAUAUCUUCGAGAAGUUCUUCCUCUUCGAGGUUCCUAAUAUGUGGAUCCAUAGUUCUGCAAAAAACGAACAUUUGGUUAACUAAUAAACUAACAAACUAUAUAUGAUGCAAAAUAAUUCUAUUUCUAUUUGCAAAUAAAUUCUAACUAAAUAAUUCUAAGUAAAAUAAUUCUAUCUCUAUUUGCAAAUAAAUUCUAACUAAAUAAUUCUAACUAAAAUAAUUCUAUUUCUAUUUGCAAAUAAAUUCUAACUAAAUAAUUCAUGACUUCAUCAUUACCUAGUAGUAAUAGGAGCAUGAUGCUAUGAAGCUUUAUAAAGUUGUUUUGUAACGGAAUCCCGAAUAGGAUAAUUAGCUUUGUGGUACGCAGUUCAAAAAGAGCCAUCCGAAUAUCGCUAUUUGGAAGGACUUUGUUGAACUUUGUACCAAAAAAGAAUUAUUCUAUUAGGAACUCCGUUCCAAAACAACUUUCGAGAGGUUGAUAGCGCCAUGCGUCUGUUACUACCAGGUAAUGAUGAAGCCAUGGACCGACCCUAAACUAACUUACUUAAAUUUACAUAGCCCUAAACUAGCUAACACUAACCUAAUUAACACUAGUUUAUAUGUUUAAUUGAUGUUUGUAGUGAUUUAAGUGAUAUUUGUAGAUUGUAGAUUUGUAUAUGCUUAAACACUAACUGUGACCUAAACUAAAAGGCCCUAAACUAACUUACUAAAAUUUACAUAACCCUAAACUAACAAUAACCUAUUAAUUAACACUAACUACCUAACCCUAAUAACACAAAUUUAAAUGACACAAAAAUAACACAAAUAACCUAUUUAACACUAACCUACCUAACCCUAAAUUCACCAAAUAUUCUACAAAUAACACUUAAGCAUAUACAAUAGCAAAAUUAAGCAAUAAUCUAAAAAACACUAAUUAAGCAUCUAUAUAUGUACAAAAUUACAUAAGCAUGCAUGCAUGUUGACGAUCGAUCAAGAGAGGAGAGGAGAGAGGCUCACCAGCGGCAGGGGGUGUUGGAUCGAGGAGGAAGGGAGGGCGACGACGACGGCGAGGAGGACGGCAAGGCGACGACGAUGGCGAGGAGGACGGCAGGGCGCGACGACGAGGAGGACGGCAGGGCGACGGCGACGGCGACAACAAGGAGGACGGCAGGGCNNNNNNNNNNNNNNNNNNNNNNNNNNNNNNNNNNNNNNNNNNNNNNNNNNNNNNNNNNNNNNNNNNNNNNNNNNNNNNNNNNNNNGGUGUCGAGCAGUUCGUCCGAUGCUGCAGGCGAGCGAGAGGAGGAAGAAAGAUUGAAAUGGCGAUUUGGGUUGGAAAUUUCCAACUCCCGCUUAUAUAGGUGGAGCUUUAGUCCCGGGUCGGGGCUCGAACCGGGACUAAAGACACCCUUUUUGGCAGGCGAGGAGGCGGGAAACGAGGGGCUUUAGUCCCGGGUCGGGGCUCGAACCGGGACUAAAGGCUGUGUUUAGUCCCAGGUCUAGCCACGACCCGGGGCUAAAGACCCCUUUUCGGCAGGCGAGGAGGCGGGAAACGAGGGGCUUUAGUCCCGGGUCGUGGCUCCACCAGGGACUUAAGGUGGUCUUUAGUCCCGGUUCGAGCCCCGAACCGGGACUAAAGACCUGGGCUGGCUUCGGGGUGACGCAGGGCAACCUUUAGUCCCACCUCACCUAGCGAGGGGCGCUGGCAGUGCUUUAUAAGCACUCUCGCACUUUGCUCAAUUGAGCUUCUCUCUAUUGAAGGCAUGUGGGCCUAACUCUCAUCUCGCUGUCUGUUGGUCCUAUUGGCCCCCGGACCUUCAUCCUGGCCCACCUGUCGGGUAGGGUUUCUAGUCGUAUGCAGGUCGUGAUGACCCAAUAGGCGGCAUUUGUUUUUUUACUUUAAUAAUUUUUAGUCCUAGUUUAUAUUUUAAUUCUUUGCUAUUCAAUAUUUUUUUCUCUUCUAUUUUAGUUUUCUAUUGAGUUGAUUUGUUUUUGUUUCUUUUAGUUAAUGUUUUACUUGAUUCUUUCUAACAAAUAAGCACUUUGAAAAUUUUAGUAAAUUAUUCUUAAUUCAUUCAUUUUAGUUAAUGUUUUAGUUGAUUCUUUUUAGUUGACUCUUUUUUUGUUUUCUAUUAAAUAUUUUAACAAAAAAACUUUAUGAAAUUUCUGACUUCAUUUGAUAUUUUUUGUGCAUUUACUUAUUCUUUUGAGCUAGUUGACCCUGAAAUGGAAAAACACUACAAAUGAACUCUAAAAAUGUUGAAAGUUGGCAUGGUAUCAUCAUUUCACCCACAUAGCAUGUGCUAAAAGGUUGAGAGGGUUACGGCAAAAAUUGGAUACACUUCGUGUGCAAAACGGACAAUAUCUCUCGAAGUAUCAUGGUUUCGAACAAGAACUCAUCUAUUACAAAGUGAUUUCAUUUUUUUGAACUUAUUUGAACUCCAUACUUUUUGUGUGUUCAAAAUGCACCAUUCAAACGCACAUCACAAACUUUCAACAAUUUCUGACUUCAUUUGGUAUUUUUCGUGCAUUUACUUUUUUUUAGCUAGUUGACCCUGAAAUUGAAAAACACUACAAAUGAACUCUGUGUUGAAAGUUGGCAUGGUAUCAUCAUUUCAUGCACAUUCCAUGUGCUAAGAAGUUGAGAGGGUUACGACAAAAACUGGAUACACUUCGUGUACAAAACGGACAAUCUCUCUUGAUGUAUCAGCAUCUCGAACGUGAACUCAUCUGUUACAAAGGGAUUUCAUUUUUUUGAACUUACUUGAACUCCAUACUUUUUGUGUGUUCAAAAUGCACCAUUCAAAGGCACAUCACAAAAUUUCAACAAUUUCUAACUUCAUUUGGUAUUUUUCAUGCAUUUACUUAUUUUUUUGAGCUAGUUGACCAUAAAAUUGAAAAGCACUACAAAUGAACUCUAAAAAUGUGGAAAGUUGGAAUGGUAUCAUAAUUUCACCCACAUAGCAUGUGCUAAAAAGUGGAGAGGGUUACGAUAAAAACUGGAUGCACUUCGUGUACAAAACAGACAAUCUCUCUCGAAGUAUGAGGGUUUCGAACGAGAACUCAUCUAUUACAAAGGGAUUUCAUUUUUUGAACUUAUUUGAACUCCAUACUUAUUGUGUGUUUAAAAUGCACCAUUCAAAGGCACAUCAAAAAAUUUCAACAAUUUCUGACUUAAUUUGGUAUUUUUCGUGCACUUACUUUUGUUUUUUUGGGCUAGUUGACCCUAAAAUUGAAAAGCACUACAAAUGAACUCUGAAAAUGUUGAAAAUUGGCAUGCUGUCAUCAUUUCACCCACAUAGCAUGUGUUAAAAAGUUGAGAGGGCUACGACAAAAACUGGAUGCAUUUCGUGUACAAAACGGACAAUCUCUCUUGAAGUAUCAGGGUUUCGAACGAGAACUCAUCUCUUACAAAGGGAUUUCAUUUUUUUGAACUUAUUUAAACUCCAUACUUUUUGUGUGUUCAAAAUGCACCACUCAAAGGCACAUCACAAAUUUUCAAUAAUUUCUUACUUCAUUUGGUAUUUUUCGUGCAUUUACUUAUUUUUGUUGAGCUAGUUGACCCUGAAAUUCAAAAGCACUACGAAUGAACUCUCAAAAUGUUGAAACCUGGCAUGGAAUCAUCAUACUGCUCAGGCGGGGACCUUCAUACUACUCAGGCAUUCAAAAAAGAUUUCCUUCUCUGCUUUGGUAAGAGCAUAGCUGCUUAAGUAUUGACGCACUUUAUCAGUCUUCUUGUCGUAUGGGUCUUUCAUACGUUGGUGCUCCUCCCGUGCUUCUGUUGUAUCUUUUGUCUUUCUAUACACUCCCAGGAAGCCUAGCAGGUUCACGCAAAGAUUCUUCUUCACGUGCAUCACGUCGAUUGAAGACCGGACCUCUAGUUGUUUCCAAUAGGGUAGCUCCCAAAAUAAAGAUUUCUUUUUCCACAUGGGCACGUGUCCGGUAAUGUCGUCUUUCGGAACUGAUUGACCGCGAGGACCCUUUCCAAAGAUUACUAUUUGAUCCAAAUCCUUGACCAUAGCCAAUAACUCAUCACAAGUAGGGAGGUUAGGCUUCUUCCGGUGAUCUGCCUCACCGUUGAAAUGCUUGCCUUUCUUUCUUACGGUAUGACUGGUCGGAAGAAAUUGACGACACACCAGGUAGACAACCUUCUUAGAUUUUCCCAAAUAUGUACCUUUACUCUUAUCUAAACAGUGCGUGCAUGCAUUGUAUCCCUUGUUUGAUUGUCCUAAAAUGUUACUAAGAGCAGGCCAAUCAUUGAUGGUUACGAACAACAAUGCUCAUAGGUCAAAUUCCUGUUCUUUGUGCUCAUCCCACACACGUACACCUGGUGGGCCCACAACUGCAAAAGUUCAUCAACUAAUGGCCUUAGGUACACAUCAAUGUCGUCGCAGGGUUGCUUCGGUCCUUUAGUCCCGGUCUGUGGUACGUGCCGGGACUAAAGGCCUAUUUUCUGUUUUCUUAUUUUAUUUGUUUUUGCAUAUUUGAGAAUAUAAAUAGUAAUCUGUUUGCAUAUUUGAGAAUUUGACAAAACUAUGAAAAUGAAAAGUGUUUGAAAUUGAAUAAAUAAUUCAAAACUAUUUUCUAUUUUCAAAAUUAAUUAUUUUGACUAUCCAAACUAUUAACUAUUUUGUAAUUUUCAAUUAAAUACUAUGUUUAUUAAAAUUCUUUUUGCAUAUUUGAGAAUUUGACAAAACUAUGAUAAUAAAAAGUGUUUGAAAUUGAAUAAAUAAUUCAAAACUAAAAGGUUUAGUACAUUCCAUACAUGCAUUACAUAAAAGGUUUAAUACAUUAUUACAUUAUUGCACCAAUAUUCCUACAUAUUAUUUCUGUUUUCUUCUCGGUUAACCAUGGAGAAUCUUCAUCAUUCAGUGGGAUGCUUGGGUCAGUUUUCACUUUGAAGGGCGGAAUUUCAUGAAACUUAUUAUAAUCUACUGACAUGUCUGUCUUGUCAUCUACUCCCACGAUGUUUCUUUUCCCUCAAAGAACUAUGUCGCAUUUUGGCUCAUCGGACGAUAUCUUCUUUUGCUGAUUUCUUUUUAUCGUUUUUGUAGACAUGUCCUUCACAUAGAAAACCUGAGCGACAUCAUUGGCUAGGACAAAUGGUUCGUCCAUGUACGCAAGAUUGUUGAGAUCCACUGUUGUCAUGCCGUACUUUUGGUCUACAACUACCCCGCCUCCUGUCAGCUUCACGCAUUUGCACCGAAACAAAGGGAUCUUAAAAGUAGGUCCAUAGUCAAGUUUCCAUAUCUCCUCUAUGUACCCGUAAUAUGUUUCCAAACAGUGCCAAUUCUCGUCUGUUGCAUCAAAGCGGACACACUAUUUUGGUUGGUGCUCUUUUUAUCUUGGGCAACCGUGUAAAAUGUAUUCCCAUUUAUCUCAUACCCUUGGAAAGUACAUAUAGUCGAAGAUGGUGACCUGGCCAAACAGUACAGUUGAUCUCCAACGGUGUCGUCAUUUAUGAGAUGUAUCUGCAACCAACUUCCGAAAGUCUUCUCGUGUUCCCCUUUAAUCCAAGAGUCAGCCUUCCCCGGGUUUUUAGAGCGUAGAAUAUUCUUGUGUCUCACGAUAUACGGAGCCACCACGGUGGAAUUGUGUAGAACUGUGUAGUGUUCUUGAGAGAAAGAAUGCCCGUCCAUACAUACUUUUGCUUUCCUUCCUAGUGUGCCUUUUCCUGUCAGCCUACCCUCAUACCGAGAUUCAGGAACACCAAUCGGCUUAAGGUCAGGAAGAAAGUCCACACAAAACUCAAUGACCUCCUCUGUUCCAUAGCCCUUGGAGAUGCUUCCUUCUGGCCUAGCACGGUUACGAACAUAUUUCUUUAAGACUCCCAUGAACCUCUCGAAGGGGAACAUAUUGUGUAGAAACACAGGACCGAGAAUUCUAAUCUCUUCGACUAGGUGAACUAGGAGGUGUGUCAUCAUAUUGAAGAAGGAUGGCGGGAACAACAACUCAAAGCUGACCAGACAUUGGACCACAUCAAUCUGUAACCCUGAUAGACUUUCUCGAUCGAUUACCUUAUGAGAAAUUGCAUUGAGGAAUGCACAUACCUUCACAAUUGCCAGGCGAACAUUUUCCGGUAGAAUUCCCCUCAAUGCAAUCGGAAGAAAUUGCGUCAUAAGCACGUGGCAGUCAUGAGACUUUAGGUUUUGAAAGUUUUUGUCUUUCAUAUUUACGAUUCCCUUUAUAUUCGACGAGAAGCCAGUCGGGACCUUGAUGCUGAAAAGGACUUCAAAGAAGAUUUCCUUCUCUUCCUUAGUAAGAGCGUAGCUGGCACGCCCUUGAAACUGCCCUGGAUGCAUGCCAUCUCUUCCUUUAUGACGUUCCUGGUCCUCCCGUGCUUCCGGUGUAUCGUCUUUUGACUUCCCAUACAAGCCCAGGAAGCCUAGAAUAUUCACACAGAGAUUCUACGUCAGGUGCAUCACGUCGAUUGCCGAGCGGACCUCAUGGACUUUCCAGUAGGGUAGCUCCCAAAAUAUAGAUUUCUUCUUCCACGUGGGUACGCGCUUAUCAGGGCCGUUAGGAACAGGUUGGCUGCCAGGACCCUUUCCAAAGAUUACUUUUAAAUCUUUGACCAUAUCAAAUACUUCAGCACUAGUACGGAUGACAGGCUUCCCCCGGGGUUCUGCCUUGCCAUUGAAAUGCUUGCCUUUUUUCUUUAAGGGAUGCUUGGGCGGAAGAAAACGACGAUUUUACGGGUACACAUUCUUCCUACAUUUGUCCAGAUAUAUACUUUCUGUCUGAUCCAAACAGUGCGUGCAUGCAUUGUAUCCCUUGUUUGAGUGUCCUGAAAUGUUACUAAGAGCAGGCCAAUCAUUGAUGGUUACGAAAAGCAACGCUCGAAGGUCAAAUUCCUCUUGUUUGUGCUCGUCCCACACACGUACACCUGGUUCGGCCCACAGCUGUAAAAGUUCAUCAACUAAUGGCCUUAGGUACACAUCAAUAUCGUUGUCGGGUUGCUUUGGACCUUGGAUAAGCACUGGCAUCAUAAUGAACUUCCGCUUCAUGCACAACCAAGGAGGAAGGUUGUAGAUACAUAGAGUAACGGGCCAGGUGCUGUGACUGCAACUCUGCUCCCCAAAAGGAUUCAUGGCAUCUGUACUCACACCAAACCAUAAGUUCCUUUCGUCACCUGCAAAUCUCAGGAACUCUCUCUCGAUUUUUCUCCACUGCCGACCAUCAGCGGGAUACCUCAACUUAUCGUCUUUCAUACGAUCUUCCAUGUGCCAUCGCAACAACUUCGCAUGAUCUUUAUUUCUGAACAGACGUUUCAACCGUGGUAUUAUAGGAGCAUACCACAUCACCUUGGCAGGAACCCUCUUCCUGGGUGGCUCACCCUCAAUAUCACCAGGGUCAUCUUUUCUGAUCUUAUACCGCAAUGCAGUGCAUACCGGGCAUUUAUCCAUAUUCUCGUACUUCUCACCGCGGUAGAGGAUGCAGUCAUUAGGGCAUGCAUGUAUCUUCUGCACGUCUAAUCCUAGAGGGCAGACAAGCUUCUUUGCUUCGUACGUGCUGGCGGGCAAUUCGUUCUUUCUUGGAAGCAUCUUCUUCAUCAGUACCAGCAAAUUUUCGAAUCACGAGAGUCAGUCACACCGGUCUCUGCCUUCCACUUCAGCAAUUCCAGUGUGCUACCCAGCUUCUUCUGGCCAUCUUCACAAGUUGGGUAAAACAAUUUGUUGUGGUCCUGUAACAUCUGCUCGAACUGCAACCUCUCCUUUUCUGUGUCGCAACCUCGCCGUGCAUCAGAAAUGACCCGGCCAAGAUCAUCAGCGGGCUCAUCUGGUUCCCGUCUUCAUCCUGAUCUUCUUCUUCAUUGUCUUCCAUUGCGGUAUCAGCAUACUCAGGGAACAUAGAUCGGUAGUUGUCAUCAUCGUUCUCUUCUUCUUCAUCAUCGUCUUCCAUCAUAACGCCUCUUUCUCCGUGAUUGGUCCAAACAUUAUAGCCCGACAUAAAACCGGACCGAAGCAGGUGGCUCUGAAUGACUCUUGAGGAAGUGUAAUCCUUCUCAUUCCGACAUUCAACACAUGGACAAAACAUAUAGCCACCACCAUGCUUGUUCGCAUCGGCUGCAUCUCGAAAAGAAUGCAUGCCUUCUCUGUAAGCGGUUGUGCGUCGAUCACCGUACAUCCAUGGAUGGCUCAUCUGCGUUAUACGACAGUAUAUCAAAUACAAUCACGAUCCUAAAAAUUAGUACCGCACGGUCUAAACGAGGAAAUAUAGUUGCUAACCUUUUAGAAUAAGUAGAAAUAAAGAGGAAGAGGUUUAAGCGUGGCUCGGGCAUCUCAUAUCGUAGUUGUGUUCGGUGAACUGAAGCGGCAUCGCUCUAACACACAUUUCAACAAACACCUCUAGUGCAUCCAAGAAAAAUGGAGAGCUAGCACACACCCACACUCUUCCAUCCAAGAAAAAUGCAAGAAAGAGGGGAGAGGGGGGUUGUGGCCAAUAUAUAUAGGCAGAGGACUUUAGUCCCGGUUUGAGACACAAACCGGGACUAAAGGUGACGCACAUGCGGGCUGCACACCGCGUAGCCCUUUAGUCUCGGUUUAUGUCUCGAACCGGGACUAAAGGCUCCUUACGGGCCGGGACCAAAGCCUUGUGGGCGGCAUUGCGAUUUUGGGGCGACGUGGCCGGGCCUUUAGUCCCGGCCCAGAUGGAGGCCGGGACUAAAGGGUCCAGGCCAAAGGCCCGUUUUCCACUAGUGAUUAUUCACAUAUGACAUUGUACUAUUUUUUUUAUUUGUUAUAAUGGAAAUCUUAGCUGAAAUUUUGAAUUAGAAAAUGCAAAGAAUCAAGUGUACCAUAUAUCUUCGAAAAUAUGUAACACUGUGUACAAAUAAGAAGGACACGUGCAACCAUCAUGAAAUAGUCGACCAACCCUUUGACAACCUUUGAAUAAACGAAUCAUGUAUGCUCGAUGAGUUCAAUUUGCAGCUGCAAUUGUGUGGAAGGGGACUAAUGGAAUGACAAUUGAAAAUUUGAGUAAAAUUAUAUUACUAUAUAGAAAUGAGGGAGGCCAGAGAGUGAAAAAUACAACCAUCAGGUAUAAGUUGCACAACUCUAGAGUAGUGUGACUAAAUGAAUCAUGUAUGCCCGAUGAGUUUGAUUUGUAUAGUAGUAAUUGUAUCGAAGUAGACCAAUGGAAUGACAAGCAAAAAAAAAAAUUGAAUCUGGUUUCAUUUCUGGGAAGAAAUGAGGAUGGCGAGAGAAAAAAUAGUGAGUAAAAAUAUCAAAUUAACUACGGAAAUAUGUUAGAGACAUCUGUGUAUAUUCACAUGUGUACAUGCAAAAUGCGGGAAAAAAAUACGAACUCAGUUGCCAAAAUUUGGUUUAUAUUCGAUGCAUCGUACCGUAUAAAAAAAUCAUUUGAUAUCUUAGAUGUAUUGACACGUAUGGAUUCAUUUGUAUAAAAGAAGAGUUGUGUGAGUAUAAAAGAAUCGAACUAAGGUACUCAUGAAUUGGCGAUCAUGAGCAUAGUUUUGGGACACCCAUAAAUGACAAUGAAACGAUAGAUAAUGAAGACUUUAAUAGAUUACACAUGUACUAAGAUUAGGUGCAAAAACAGGAGAAUAGUAGAAUCAAUCUGGAUGUGGUGUGCAACUCACAUAACAUAUUAAAUAUUAUAUUUGGUGGGAGUAAAGAUCUGACACAAAUGAAAAUCAUUUCAGGGGUGCAAUAAGUUGUCUCAGUUAUGCUUAAAGAUAUAAGUAUCAGAAAAACAUUUGUGCGUAUUUGUAUUGUAAACUAUAUAGGGGCAAGUGAAAUGAGAUAUUCUAGAAAAUUUCAGCGAAUGUUUCCAAGGGGGGGGGGGGGGGGGGAGCCAUGAGUAUGUGAAUCAUAAUUGCGUGAUUGUACAUCUAGUCCCCACCGUAGGGACUUAGGAUGUGUCUCAUUGAUAACUAAAUUUUCACAAGCAAGCAAGCAAAAUAGUAAUGUAACAUAUAUUGAGAAUCACAUAAAGAAAGCAAUAAUGAGACGUAAUUGGAGAUAAUGUUUUAAGGUUGUAAACACCACAUAUCCCGAGAAUGUAGUAUGAAUUAUUUGUAUCAUGCAUAAAAAGGUGAUAAGUAAUUUAUUUCAGGCAGACUGAAUUUGGAGUUCUCAAUUGUAUUUCUAAUUUAGAAUAUCCUCAUGAUUCAGUAUACUACAAUUAUGCAUUAUUUUAUACUCCCUCCGUUUCUAAAUAUAAGUCUUUUAAGAUAUUUCACUAGAAGUCUACAUACGGAGCAAAAUGAGUUAAUCUACAUUGUAAAGUAUGUCUAUAUGCAUCCGUAUGUAGUUCACUAAAGAAACCUCUUUAAAGUCUUAUAUUUAGGAACGGAGGGAGUACAAAUUUAUCGAUAAUGCUGAAUAUUUGAAUUAUCAACCAAUAUUUAUAUUAAUAGAAAACUCUAGCCGUGCAAAUGUGUGGGUAACUCCGUUAGUUAUACUAAUAAAAUAUGAUGCCAAUCACCAUGGGGCGUCGGCAGAUCGCAAUCCUUUACUCUGUCUAAUUUUAAAACUAAAUAGUAUAUGCAGUGGUUGAUGCCGGAAUGAAUCAAAUGAUGCGGAUAAUAGGUAAAUCCUCUGUUUUUAAAUAUAAGACCCUUUUACAGCUUAAUUUAGAAACAGAGGCAGUGCCAUUUUUGCCAUAAAGCGAAAGUUUGCACAAUAUUUUAAGUGUAUGGCGAUCAAGUGAACUGUCUAAUGGCCAAUGGGUACGAUGAUAAUGACUUGUGUGUACCUUGUCCCAAUCCACCUUUGUUAGGUGGCACAUAGUGGUCAUAAUUAUCUUCUUCCGUCCAAAAUAUGCAGCUGGUCAGUCAAGUGUUUACGUAAGGUUCCUUCAAUUAAGCUGUAGCACCUAGCAGGGAAACUAUACGUUUAUGAAAUUAUCUCCCAAGAAAAUUUACGAAUAAAAUUUUCGAGUAUCUAAUCUGAGGUUUCGUAAGUUUAUAAUAUUCAAGUAAAAAUUGAUUUACCCCUACAAGGGGAGAAAUCCUCACUUUUUUCCUUUUCAAUAUUAGGCAGUAGUAGGCAGAGAUGGUGAAUAUAAAGGUGGUGCAGGAUUUAGGUGUACGUGUUCAAAAAAUUCUUCUGAUCUCACUACUAGUAUUUCUCGACCAAGAAAUGUCGGUCAAGACAGGCUCACGUGGCAUGUUAAUUACUUAGUGGAGCAGAUAUGUAUUACAUUUUUAAAGAAGGAAACUUAAGAAGUUGGGCCAUCAAUUAAGUUCUAGCAGCCAGAUUGGUUGAUAGUACUUGACUUGUUCUAUUUGCUCACAUGCAAGUUCAUGCACAUCACCACACUGUUGCUUGCACCAGCUCUAUCAAUCUGCGGCUAUUUAAGCACACCCAUACAUGCCUCCAUUGACAAAGCAACUCACAAUGGCUUCUUCUUCCACAUUGUUUUGCCUUUCUGCCCUCCUUGUGCUGGCCUCAAGGCAGGCCACUGCCUACGAUCCUAGCCCUCUUCAAGAUUUCUGCAUCGCCGACAUGAAGGCGCCUGGUAUGCACUACGUAUAGUGUGCACGUAUAGAUGUGUGCCCUUAAUUCUAGUGGUGGUAUAGUUAAUGUUGUGAUAGCGUAGUACUGAUCACACAUUGAAGGUUACUACAUACUGAUAAUAGUUUUUUUUGUGUGGGGUACAUACUGAUAAUAGUUACAAAAGUAGUAUCACUACAUGCUCAAGCCACCCACACAUUUCUUACUUGCUUUAUGUUACUUUCUCUAUGCAUGCAGUGCGGGUCAAUGGAUUUGCUUGCAAGGACCCAAUGGCCGCAACCCCGGAAGACUUCUUCAACGCAGCCAUGCUCGAUCAGCCUAGGGAUACCAAGGCCAGCAAGGUCAGGUCCAACGUCACCAACAUCAAUGUCAUCAAUUUCCCUGGCCUCAACACCCUCGGCAUCUCCCUGGCACGCAUCGACUAUGGGCCAUUAGGUGUCAACACGCCGCACAUACACCCCCGUGCCACCGAGCUCCUCACGGUGCUUGAGGGGACACUCUACCUUGGAUUUGUCACAUCCAACCCAAACAGGCUCUUCUCCAAGAUAGUUAAGAAGGGUGAU
rnacentral:lncRNA from 1 species